CUAGUAACCCUCUUAAUAGGGUUUAAUUGAAGCAUUGGAUCUAAUAGCUUGUCAAACUUGUUUUUGUAGGAGUUUUGGUUUCUGAAUGUGGACAACAACAUACCAGCCAGUAGGUUCUAUUUAAAUGUCAUAUCGAAUUUGAUUUUUUUGUCAAAUACCCUUUUAUUACUUAUUUAUUAUUGGCAUUGCCUGUAUUAUAUGAUACUCAGUGAUACUAGAUGAUCAAUUUCUAUUAUGUCAGAUUUAAGGUUAACAAUGGUUAUUUAUGCAGGUUCACAAGGUACAAGCGAAAGGACCAAGUAAGUGUGUCCAUAUCCCUCAUCCCUUGAUGUCAAGUACAACUAUUUUAACUGUUUGCAACCAACAAUUGAAGUUAAUGAAAUUUAAGUUAAUAGUAAUGCACUAAUAAAAUUGGUUUGUAGGAUAGUCUUUUAAAGAAUCAUUACUGUGAAAUUUUUUGCUUAAGCAUGCCAUUGUGAUAUGUUAUUAGGUUGUCUUUUUCCAAAAUUUAGUUGUUUAUUUUUAUGUAUAUAAUUUAGGGACUUGCCCAUUGUGAAUUUGUUCAGUACUCUAUCCAAAUGAACCCUUACCUGACUUUCUUCUUUUUCUUUGGGCCUGUUUGCAAUUUCAGGAAUGCAACUGACUAUUUGAAAACACUUCUUCAUCCAAUCAACCCAAUUUUGGAGGAUUCUGCUGGAGAUCAAGAUCUCCCUGAUCUCAGCUUGAACCAGAUAUUGGAGGGGAAAACACGUGCUAUUGCUGCUCGAAUGUUUUUUGAAGUAUUGGUGAGUUUGAAUGUAUGUUUUUAAUGAUUAGAAUACCCUUUUAUUCUUGUGACUGAUGUGGAAGUUGAAUUAGAGGUUUUAGGGACUAAUAAAGUUGUUGAUGUAAAACAAGAAGAACCUUAUGGUGAUGUGAGUUUGAAGUUGGCUGCAACGCCUUCAAAUGAUCAAAGUUGAUAUGCAGGUCCUUGUGUAUACAGAUAGGAGGGUCUUUGAAUCUUAACUCAUGUGCACAAUCACAAUCAACUUCACUAAUUUUCACUAAUUUUUAGUGAAUUUUGUUUGCUAUAUUCACUUAAUACAAAUGCAUUUCAUUUGGUUCUAUACUAAAGUGUUAAUAGAAGCAAACACUGCAUUUCAUUUGGGGCAAAUGCUCCCUGCGCCCAAUCAUUUUUAACCUGCACCCAACAUAUUUUUUUAAUUUCCAAAAAUGCCCUUAAUUCCGGAAAUAAAAAUCUGGAAUUAAUAAUAAUAUAUUCUGGAAAAAUAAAUUCGGAAGUAAUUAUUGAGUUUCGGAAAUAAAAAUCCAGAAACAAAAAUUAAAAUUCUAUUUUGGACAAAAGAAUUUGGAAUUGAAAAAUAAUACAUUCUGGAAAAAAAAAUCCGAAAAAGAAAUAAUUGUGUUUCAGAAAUGAAAAUCCGGAAACAAAAAUAAAAAAUCCAUUCUAGAAAAAAAUCCGUAAUAUAAAAUUUCGUUCCAGAAAAAAAUAUCCGGAACACAUAUUUUGGAAAAAAAAUUUAAGGACAGUUUCGUUUUUUCCGCUGGAAUCGGUGUAGUAAUAUGGUGCAGGAAGUAAUUGCCUUCAUUUGGUUGGUAUUUGGUUCUAUACUAAGGUGUUAAUAGAAUCAAACACAAACCCAAAAUAAAGAAUAUUUUAAAUUUAAAGUUAUACACUAGUAUAUAAGAUAUUAUCAUGGGUAGACAUUUGCAUAUGAGAUUUUGAACAAUCUUAACUUAUUUGCAUAAUCAAUUGUAUAUUAAGUUUAUAACGUAUAAUAAUUAUAUAUUAUAAAAUUAAGUUUAUAAUAUGGAAUUGAUUAUAUAAAUAAUAUAGUUGAUAAUAUAAUAUAAUAAAAAUAAAAUAGUAUUAAAAAAUACAAAUUUCAAAUUAGUACAGAAUUACUAUAAAUUUCUUUUAUGUUGAUAAAAAUAUUUUGAGAACUCUUAACUCUUGAAAAGGUUACCUCAUUGUGUUAUUCAUCAAGUUAAAAACUAAUUACAGAAAAAAUUUAUAUCAACAAAUGUAAUUAAUUGUGUGGGCCUUAGUUCCAAAAAAAAACAGUCCACAAAACUAAGGCAGUUUCUUCCUGCACCCCCACAUAUUUCUUCCUGCACCUCCACACUCUUAUGAAAGGACUAAAUCGCCCUUAUUAGUUUUUAAAAUUUCAGAAAUAUCCUUAACCUAAAAAUACCCUAAAGAGGUGCAGGCAAGGAUGCUCUCUUGCGCAGCCGGGUCUUUCGUGUUCCUGCAGCAGCACACUUUCAUGUUCUAGCAGCAGUGCAACACCUCCAAAUCUUUCUCCUUCAAUCUCAUUUUUUGUUGGUGAUUUAGAGUGCUCUUGACAAAUGUAAGUAAAUUUCUUUGCUUUCGCAUCUGCACAUCCAUUUUUUUUAUGAAUUUUUGUUUCGGUAAGUGUUUUCUUCUAUUCCAGAUUAUAGAAUCCGAUGGAAUUUUGGACCACAAAAUAUGGUAAAAUCUCGAAUUUUUGCUUUCGGUAAAAUCCCAGAUUUGUGGUUCCAGGAAGAUUCGAAAUUUGUGGAUCUGGAAAGGUUCCAAAUUUAUGGAUCUGGGAAGCUUCCAAAUUUGUGGAUUCAAAUUUGUGUUUUUAUGGUCAUCCUUUCUUCAACAUAUAAAACUUUAUCAAAAGAUUUUUUCUAUCUUCAAAUAUGAUUUGCAAUGAUCUUCUUUUUUUCUUCUUUUAAUAUUUUUUUUGUUCAAUAGUUUAUUUAUAUUUAUUUAGUAGAAAUGAUACAAUGCUUUUUUUUCUCUCUUUUGGUUUCAAUAGAAUUUUAUAUUUGCUGUUUUUUGUUUGUAUUGGUUCAACAUCUUAUUCAUUAGUUUGUAAUUUGGUUUAACUUGAAUGGUGUAAUUGAACAGUGAAGACUAGGGGAGGAGGUUCACAAAGUGAUCGUCUACGUCCCACAGUCUCUGUUAGAAAAAACAUGAAGAACAUGGAUAAUGACUUCUCAAUAUCAUCAUCAUCCCACACAUCAACUCCAUCAUAUAAUUCUUGUUCAAAUUCAUCAAUACUGUCCAUGCUUCUACAAAUAAAAAAAAUGAAACAAAAUCAUUGCAUUUCGGAUCCAUGAAUUCAGAAGUCAAAAACAUUAUUCUGGAUCCAACCAUCCAUAAUUCAAAAAAGAUCAUUAUGGAUUCAGGAAUCCAUAACACAAAAAAACAAUUUCGGAUUCAUAAAUCCAUAAUGCAAGUGAUGUAUUCCGGAUUCAAGAAUCCAUAACACAAAAAAACAAUUCCGGAUCCACCAAUCCAUAAUGCAAUUUAGACUUCCGGAUUUAGCACUCCAGAAAACAACAAUUUAUGACCUUUUACCUUCCAGAACAUUCCAUCAUCCAAAAAACACAAUUUAAUCAAUUCCAGAUUCAUGAAUCCAGAAUAUAUUACCAGAUCCCGAUAUCCGGUAGCCCUUUUUGAAAUUAUAGGUCAAGGUUAAUGUUGGAAUAUUUAAAAUUGUGGGGUGCAGGAAGAAGAAGCCCAAAACUAAUUUAAACUUUCCAUGUUAAUUGUCCAAGCAUCUUCUUCAAUUUUCGUUAACCUCUGACUUUUUAGUUUAUUGCUUCUUUUUACCGAUUUUAACUCUUUAGACUCAAUUUUUUCCAAUUAAUUAUGAAUAUUAUUACAUUUUUAAUUUUUUUUAUAAUUAUGAAUGUUAAACUUUUUUUAAUUAAAACAAAAUAAAUUUCUAACAUAAUAUUUUACUUAUAAAUAACUAAAAUACACAAAUAAAUAAAUUAUAUAUUUCUGAUUACUUUUUAAAUAAAUAAUAAUAAUAUUUUAAAUUUUUAUCAAUUAAAUCACAUCUAUCACAUCACUCAAAAAUAUUUAUAAAUUUUUACUUCUUUUCAAAUUUUACUUUGUUUAUCUUUUUUCAAAUUAAUUUUUUAUUUUUUUAAUAUUAUUUACUUCUCAAAUUCAUUUCUCGAUACAAACAAAAUAUUGGAAAGAAGUAGCUAUCAAGUUGUAUUAGAAGUAGGUUUUCAAUAAAAUAAAACAAUGGUUAGAAAUAGAAAUAUAGAAAGUGGGCCCAAAACCCACUGCAUUUAAAAUUAGGUCAUCCUUUCCAAAACCUUCCAUGUUGUGUCAGAAUUGAAUCACAUGAUGGGACCAACCCUAUCCAAUUAUUUCAUCUACAAAUACCAUUAUGAAAAAUAAAAUAAUACGAAAAUGCUGCAAUGAAUAUCAAUACUUUUGAUUAAAUAUUUUUUCAAUAACUGAAUUUAAAAAUAAACACUAAAUAAAAAUAAUUUUAAAAAAAAUUAAUUAUUUAUAUUGAUUAAAUUAGAGAUCAAAUUUAAAAAAUAAAUAAUUAAUAAUUAAAAUUUUGAUAGCUAAUUAAAUAUUAAUUUAAAAUUUAUUUAACAAUAAUAAAAAUCAAUUUAGAAAGCACAAUUUUUUUAGUAUCUAAAACGAUUUCUAAUUUAGUCAAUAUAACAACUAUUUAUUUAUUUUCUUUAAAAUUAAUUUCUAUUUAAUAAUUUUUUUUGAAAUAAAAAUUAAAAAAAAAAUUUAAAUGGAGAUUAUAUGUUGAUUUUUUACUUAGUUUAUAAUUUAAUUUUUUUAAAACUCUAAACCCUAACUUCUAAGUGAAAUUUUGUUAUUGAUUUUAUCCCUUUUUUUAUAAUUAUUUUAUUUUUCUCAUUGGAUAGUUUAAUUAUGAAGAAAUUUUUGUGGUAUGUAGAGUUUGAUAUUUGAAAAUCAACAUAUAUUAUCCUUUAUGUGUUUAAAUUAAAUUUUAUAUUGUCUAGAUUAUGUUUUUGGUGAAGAAUGGAUCUCCAUAAUGACUGGAUAGAGUUUUGAUGCUUUCAAUUUAUGAUUUUAAUUUUUACUUAUAAAACAUAUUUUUAAAAUAUAUAAAUAUAUUUGAAUUUAAGCAAAUGAUUAUUAAACUUAUAUCAAUACAAAUAAUUUGAUUUCCAAAUAAAUAUAUAGAUAUAAAACAAUCCUUUUUUUAACCUUAUAAAAUGAAAACAUUCCACUUUAUAUAUUAAACAAAACAAUUUUUUUAGGAAAUACUUCGUGUAAUAUAAUUGAUAAAAGUGAGUAGUAAUGGUGAGGAAAAUUAAAGGAAAAAAAAAAGAACUUUAACUAAAAAGAGAGAAAAGAUAGAAAGUUGAAAAGAUACAUUAUAAAACAAGUCAUUUUUGAAGUAAUGUGUGUUUUAGAAAUGUAUUUCUUCCUUUAUAUGGUGUCUACUAUAUUCUAUUUAUAAUGUUUAAAAUGAUAGUUGUUCUUUUCAAUUAUUGCUUCAUAGAUUUUUCUUAAAAAUUUUCUCAAAAUUAAGACUUUAUAAAAGAGUUUAAUCUUUCUUGAAUUUGGUUUGAGAUUGACUUAUUUUAUAAAAAUCAAAUUAAUUUAUUUAUGAGUGCGUACUUAAAAUAAGAUGAAACCUAAAUAUUUUAUUUUUUUAAUUCAAUAGAAAUGGUGAUUAUUCAAACUUCAUUUAUAAAAAUCAACAUCUUUUUAAAAUAAUUUUUUCCUAUAUUUUUUAGUUAUUCAUUCAUAUUUUUCAAAAUUCAAACCUACCAUAGUGAAGUUAACAUAUAAUAGAACAUGUUCAUCCAAUCAUAGUUUUGUUUAAAGUACGGUCUUCUUUAGCUUUUUUCCUUAAGUUGUUAACAAGAAAGAAAAUUUUCAUCCUAAGUUGUGUGUUUGCAUGUGUAGUCUAAUAGGAAAAUAUUAAUCUCUCCUACUUUAAGGUCGUAGUAAUAUCUUUAGUUUGAUUACUAGUUUUUAUAUGAAGGUUUGAACUUCCUGUGUUCAUCAAGGAUUAUUGGAGUUUUGUUGAAGUAACUACACUUUCAGGCAAGAGAAUAUAUUAUUAUUAAUAUUUUUAAAUGAUUCCAAGGUAAAUGUUUAAUUUGGUGCAUGAUUAUUGAAGUUCAUCCUUAAGUUAAGUUUAAACUUGGAAGAUAUGUGGAAGAUUAGGGUUUAGGGGAAAUUUUUAUGAGAUACUUUGAAUUAUUAUUUUUACCCUUGUUAAAUUGAUUGAAAAAUUAUGCUUGUGUAUUGAAAAUAAUUAUUUUUUGGAUGCGAGUUAUGACUUAAUAAUGAUAUUAGAUCGUGAUGAAUGUUAGAUUGUGACAACUCAAAUUGGGCGUGAUUGCAUCAUCUUGAAAACUUAUUGUUUUGCUAGGAUUAUAUGAUUGGGUUUAGUAUGGUUAAUUGUGGUUAUGUUAAUAUACAAUCGGAAGUAACAUUUUAGGUAGCUUUGUACAAUUACUUUAUUUUAGUAGUUGUUUAGAGAAUACUUGAAGAUGGAUAGUUUAAAUUUUGGUUGAGGAAACUAGGAGUGAUUAAGAUUGGAUGAAAAACUAUGAAUUUCCUUUAUAUUCUUAAAUUAGCUUAUAAUUGAACAAUUGGUUUUAUUUGGUAAAAAUUGGUUAGGUUGAUGUAAAGGUGGAAAUAAGAUUGUUGGUAAUUAAAGUCAAGAAUUUGCAACUUAUUAGCAAUGUGUUUUGCUUGAAGUUUGGAAUUGGUUUUUGAAAUUCUACAUAAUGAUAAGCAUUGCAUAAUUUUGCUCAACAAAUAGAAAUUCCACCCAACCCAUUUCAUGCAGAAAACAUUACUCUUGGACCAAAAUUCCCUUAGGGAAUUCAGACCUAAAAACAAAUGGAUGAAAUCUUUUCUUAAAUUUGUUUAGUAUUUGUAAGCAUUAAGUGGAUCAAGUAUUUUAGAGUUAGGCUUAGUGGUCUUCAUAAAAGUUGUAGUUUGGAUGUUAACUUUCUAUUGUCUUUGGAAUCAAUUAGAAAAGAGAUCUAAAACUCCAAUUAUGUGCUAUUUUAGCGAGCAAAGGUAAGGUUCUCAAUUGUGGUUGAAUUUAUUGUGAUUUUUGAACAUUUAAGCUAAAUACAUAUUUUUUUUUAAAUUGAAGUUUUCAUAAUAUUUUUAUUUUGUCCUCUUAAUUUUCUGAUGAGUUAUAUUUGAGAUCAAUUGGAUUAUUGAAGCUCGGUAUGACUUAUUAUUUUUAAGUGAAGUUGUUGAAUGAUUGAUUAAUGUUUUAUUAGUUGUUUUUGAAUUGUGAUGCAAUAUAAUGAAAUAAGAGACCAUGAUAUCCAAUAUGAAGAUUAUGUUAAAUAUAUGGGUUUAUUUUAUUUAAAUAACUUUGAUAUUCAUUUUAAAUUGUUGUAAUGAAAUUAUGAGUUUAUUUUACAUGUUUCCCUUUAAUAGUUGGAAGUGGAUUGUUCGUGAAUGAUGUUGUGACUAAGUAUGAAUUAUAUGAUUGAUGUGUGUGCAUGUGUGUAGACUAAGAUAUCAAGUGGUGAGAAAAUAAAGAAUUUUUUUUGCAAGUGACAUGUGUAGAUGUGCAAUUUGAGUUAUAAUGAAUUCACUCUAAUAAUUGACUCUUAUGUUCUUUGUUGAUAGAAGUCUUAAAUUAGAUCAAAUAUUAGUUUAUGUUACACCAUACUUAACAUGGAUCUUCCAUAAGAGGUAUGUGAUUUAUUGAACUUGAUAUUUAUAUUUGUAUGCAUUAGUUAGUUUUCAUUUUAAAAUAUGAUAGUUUUAUUUAUUUAUAUUUUUAUAUAGAAGCUUUCAUAUUAGGUAUCACUAUGCAACUUGACAUCUCAGCUAGAUUGACACCUCAAGUAACAACAAUCAUCUACCAUAACAUGAAAAAAUAUUAUUAAAAAAAGAAAUAAAAUACAAAAAUUAUGGGGGAACUAGACCAAAACUCAUAUGCUAACAAAAAUGAUACAUAUGUAGACUAUACCUAUUCAUAAAACAGACUAGAUGGAAGUCUAUUAUACCAAUGAAAUGGUUCUCUAUGAAUAAAUCCUAAAUUAGUCAACUUAUCAGCACAUGCAUUUUCUUCACGAAAAAUAUGAGCACCCUAAACCUGAUUUUCCCACGGUAAUUAAGACAAGUAUUUCAUCAAUUACGUAGCAUCUACGGAACAUUAGUUAUAGCAGUAAACGCAACAUAAACCAAGGCAUAUCACAUUCAAGCCAAACAUUAAUAAGUCUCAUCUUUUGAGUUUUCUCCAUAGCAUGUAUAACUCCAUAAAACUCAACAACAUAGCAGUCUGAACUUCAAGAAACUCCCUCAUACUCUCAUGGAAAAAAUAUCCACAAAUAGCAAGAUCAAAAUACCCGUAGUAGUCCCGUCAGUGUUAAUUUUAACCUAGCCAGGUGAAAGAAACUCUCAUUUAACCGGAAGAGGAUGAAAAACUUUACUAUUAUGAAUAUUAAUACUAAAAAAUAUAAUUACGUUAAAAUCCAACAUAUCAUUCUUCAUUGAAACUUUAAUGAAUUUAUCACUAGACAAAUUAAGAAGUAUUAUUUCUUCCGGCACUAGUUAAGGAGUUUUAUUUUUUAUAUAAAAAAUAAAAAGUAAAAGCAGAAUUCAAAGUUACAUAAUUUAGAAAAUAAAUAAGAAGCAUAUUUUAGUAAUAUUAUGGAAAAUCUCUCUUUCUUUCGGAUAUGAGAUGGAAACCACGUGACUUGUCUCCUUCAAAGAGAAUGAUCAGAACACGUGACUUAAUCAUACUAAAGAUAUAUUAAAAUAUUUAUGAUAUAAUUCUUUUAUAUUUUAUAACAAUUAUCUUAAAAUGAUUGGUUGGUUUAAAAAUAAUUUAUUACAUAUUCCUCAUGUAUUUGUUAGAUAAAUAUAACAUACUAAUUACAUUUUAGAGAGGAGAAAAACUAAGUUAUUCCAAAAAAAAAAUAUUUUUAAAUAAAUAAAUCUAAAUGAUUUCCUCCUUGUCCUUAUAUGUUAUUAUUUUUAAUCUAAUUAUUAAUAUUCUUCAUAUUAGAUUUUGGAAAUAUGAAUAAUGAAAAUAGCAAGUAAAUUGAUUUUUCAUUUAUAUAUAUAUAUAUAUGUAUAUAUAUAUUAACAUUAUCCUAAUAUGCAGAACCAGUGUCACAUGCUCAUGUUUUUUCUUCCAUUUUUCUGUUAUUCACUCAAAAUUGGUUCUUAACUUUCUAGGCUAUAAAUCCAAUUAUGUGGAUGUGGAUAUGGUUAAUUAGAGUUCUUGUUCCCUUGAUGUGGUUUAAGCAUCUUAAUUAAGAUAUAUUAACUACAAUAUAAGCCAAAAUGGUAAUGUCAUGUGUUUAGAUACAUAACUACAUAUUCACUCAUCAAUUUCUCAUCAAUUUCUAUGUAUUACCAUCUACACUAUUUAUUAAUACAUCAAAUUAUCAGGUUAUUAUUUUAAAAAUAAUUAUAAAUAAUAAUAUUAUUGACUUUUCUAUUAUAAACUUAUUUUUAUAUCCAAACAAGAUUUUGGAAAGAAUUGAGAUCUUUUCAAAUUAUUUAGAAUAUGUCUUAUUAGAGACGAUUAAAGCUAAUAUUAACGACGUUGUUCGAGGAUGUCUGAGUCAUGUUGCUAGUAGUAAAUGUGAGGAUAUGAAAUUUAAGAUAUCUUAGAACAAAAAAGCUAAUUUUGGAGUUGAUAAUAAACUUAUUUUAACUAGUGCUAGAUUAAGAGGAAAACACCAUGGAGUGAAUUGUAACCCAAUUGAAAAAAUGGAAGGUGCUAGAAGUAUGCGUAACUGAUUCUACCUUUUGGGAUUGAGAGUAAUUUGUUCAAACUCUUAUGUAUUGAGGUGAUAUCUUAUAUAUUAAUAUUUAGUUCUUGAUUGAAAAAAAAAACUUAUUUUAACUACUUUAAUGGUUGAACUCCUCUUUUGCUAGUUUAAAUAUUUUCAUAAUAAUUAUAUUUUUUUAAUUACCGUUUUGUUUAAUUCCUUCGAGUUACUUUUAUUUAUUUUCUAGCAUAAAUCUAAUUUGAAGUUCAUCUUUUUAUAUUUAUUUUUCUUUUUUAUAUCACAUCACAUAAUUGAUAGAUUUUUUUUGGUGUGAAACUAAUUAAGAAAGAAAACACUAUUUAAACAUUUCAUAUUGUAAUUUCUUUUAUAUAGACAUGAUUAACAAAAGGAAUCCGAAAUCAACAACCAAAAAUUGAUAACUAAAUAACUAAUAUGUAUUUUAAGACAACAUUAACAUAUUAUCUAUAUAAAGGAAAAAGUUAAAUUAAAUAGCUUAUAAAAAUUAGUUGAAAAGUAAGUGGUGAUAUCUACUUUCUAAAUAAUAACACUGUUUAUUUAGAUAGUGAAAGAACAAAAAGUGAAUGAUAGUAAUUAAGCAUCACCUACUCAAUAUUUUAAUAAACACAAUUACAAAAUGCAUGUGGUCCCUUGUAGAUAUUUUAAUAUAUAUCUUUUUAUUUACAAAUAUUUAAUUUUAAUAAUAUUUACAUAAAAUAAAUCGGACAAACAGCCAAAACAAUUUUUUUAAUUAUAAAAAAUGAAAACUAAUUUUUGAAUUUUGAAAGAUAAAAAUAAAAUUUAAUUCAGACUUAUAUAGAUAAAGUCCACAUUUAAGUAUAAUUUAGUAGAUAAAAAUCUAUAUCAUUAUACAAGGAAUAUACCAUUUGUUAAUAUUUUUUGCGUCAAUUAGAUAUUUUUUAUUUUAAUUAUAAAAAAUUAUUUAUUUCUUUAAUAACAUAAGUAAUUGAAUAGAUUUUUAUUUAAUUUUUAAAAUGUUUUUCUUUUAAAAAUAGUGGUUAUAUAAUAUUUUAAUAUUAUUUUUACAAAAUUAUGUAUAUUUUUUGAAUUAUAUUAUUUUAAUUUUUGAAAUGAUUAUAUAUAAAAAAAAAGUAUUAAAAGUAUAAAAAAUUAUAACAUUGUAUACAUUUUAAUGUGAGAAAAAUGUAGUUACAGAUUUAAUUUUUGAUAAUAUAUAUAAUUUUUAGUUUAUUAACACUUGGCGGCAAGAGCAAAACCUAGAAAUGGACCCACUUAUAAAGUAAGAAACACGUGGCCCAAAGAGAGCAAUAGAACAUGAACCUAUCUUGACCUAGAUUUUAUCUUAUAAAUUUUUAAAUUUAAAUAAUAUGAAAUGAAAGUUACUUUUCAUUUUUUUUUUCUUUUUUCAUAAUUUUUUUCUUAUAUUUUCGUUUAAAUACAAUAUUUUUCUCAAACGAAUAUAAAAGUGAGACAGAUUAUUUUAAAAGUAAUUUUCCUGAAACAUUUUUCUUUUAAAUAAAUAUUAUAGAUUUUCAUUUUUAUCUAAUAUUUAUUUAAUUACCAUUUUUAUUUUAAAAAAUACAUUUUUAAUCUGUAUAUACCAAUUUAUAUAUAAAAAAUAAUAAUUACAUCUUUCGUUGCCCUAAUGUGAACCAAAGUAAAUUAUAAAGUUGAUUGCUUUGACAUUUUUGGUUUAGGAUUUGACCAUUAACAACUGCAUUAUAAAUUAAUUAUUAAUAUUUCAGAAAAUGCAUAUAAAUUUACCAAAUGAUUAUUAACACAUGAUAAUUACAAGUUUAAUUAUGUAAAUGUCACUUAUUAUAUUCACCAACUAAUAAUACACCAAUCAGUCAAAGAAACUAAUAAUACAACAAACAAAGCCUUAUCUAAAUAAGAAUUAUUAACACAAAUAUGAUUUAAUUGAGGAAAAUUAAAAAUUAAAAAUUAAAAAAUGAGUUAUAAAACAACACAGUUAAAACCCUGAUAUAAUAAAAGAGGAUUUUUUUUUGGUGUAACAAUUAAACUCAUAUUAAAGAAUUUACAACUACCUACUCACCUAACUCAAUAUAUAUAUAAAAAAGAGUAUUGAAUGUCAUAAUUUAUUACUUAGAAUUUAAAUAGGAUAAAUAGAUAAUCAUGCUAAAUUUUUUGGACAAGUUAUUUUUUAUAUUUUUAUCCAAAUCACAACUUAAUAGUUUAUAAGGAAAAACCAAACACAUCACUGCAUCACAAAACAAUAAAUCAAUAAUGAUAAUAAAAUAAUAAUUAAUUCACUUGCAAAACCAAGGAAGAAUAAAAAAAACAUAUCUAGAAGUUACUCAAACAAUUUUGGAUUCUCAUCUCAGAUUGAAACUGAAAACUUAUUAAAAAAAACAUAUGAUCACCGACAUCAUAACAUGGAACAAAUUUGUUAAUGAAACACUAUAUGUUUUACAUUAUUUUGUUUUUAAUUGGAGAAAAAAAAAGAGAAACUUUGUAUUAAGUAACACAUUUUUUUUCUGCUCUCUAUCUAAGAGAAAUUUUAACAUCAAAUCAAAGGUGUUCACAGCAUGAAUUGUGGAGAAAAAACCGGGUGGAGAAAAAAAAAUCAAAACUUUAAAGACAAAUCAUGUGUGUGUUCCCCCCUAAUGCACUUUUCUACGUGAUUUUUGCUAAGUACCAUCCAUUUUUCUCUUUCCAUUAUAAAACCAAGUGAAGCUUCAUCCACUUCACCUUCACACCAGCUCUUUCUGAGCAACACACUUGUCUUCUUCUACCCUCACUUUUCCACUGAAAAUGGCACCUACUCUCUCUUCACUGCUCCUUUUGGCUUUGCUAUGUGCUGCUUCGGCUUUUGCUGCCCUUGAGCCCAGAGUACCAGAAGGUAUUUUGCUAACAUCUCACACCCUUUCAUUUUUUCAUACAUAGGAAUGUGAAAAGGAAACACAAAAAGUACUUUAUAUGUUUCUUUUUUAGCUUGAGUUUAUGCUCACUUUGUCUAUGUUUACUUCAAAGACUUGUUCUGCAUUGUCCACUUUUACUCUGAUUUGCUUGAUGGAAUGUCUCUGUGGGUUACUUGGUUGAACAUUUUUAAAGGGUAGCCUUAAGAUCUGUCCAUAAUGUUGUGAUUUAGCCCCUCUGAGAAACUGUCUGUAGUAGAAACACAUGACCAAGUUUAUGAAUAUGCUAUCUCACCACUGUCUCAUUUUAAACAUGGAUCUAACAAUGUGCACUUGGUAACACUGAUUCUCAAGCUGUGUUUUUUUUUUCUUUGUAAUUUUGAACUCCAUAGCUUACCUUCAAAAUGGGAACUUUGAGGAGCAGCCGAACCCCAAAUACCUGAAGAAAACAAAGCUGGUUGGGAAAUUUGCUUUGCCCAAAUGGGAGAUCAGUGGUCUGAUUGAGUAUGUCUCUGGGGGACCCCAACCUGGUGGCAUGUUCUUCCCAGUUACUCAUGGAAUUCAUGCUGUGAGACUUGGUAAUGAGGCCUCGAUCUCCCAAACUAUCAAGGUCAAACAGGGUCAACUCUAUGCUCUAAUUCUUGGGGCCUCAAGGACUUGUGCACAAGAUGAAGUAUUGCGAAUCUCUGUGCCUCCACAGACUGGUGAUGUUCCGUUGCAGACCCUUUAUAACCUCAAUGGUGAUGUUAUUGCUUGGGGGUUCAAGGCCACUUCUAAUGUUGUCAAAGUGACUUUCCACAACCCUGGAGUUCAAGAAGAUCCAGCUUGUGGGCCACUUUUGGAUGCCAUUGCUAUCAGGGAGUUCUACCCUCCAAUGCCUACUAGAGGUAAUGAAAUACAGGCCAUGCUAUGCUACUUUACUCUUGGAAUCUAACAUUUUAAUUUGAUCAAAUGCCUACUAUGAAACAUACUCCUUUUUGUCUUUGAAUACAUGUUACAACUUCAAAUCCAUAUGCAAUAUAGAUCUUUCUGCGGUUUUGACACAUCUGAAAGUUGUAAGAAUCCAUUUUCUGAGUUUCUGAAUGACUAGUACUUCCAUGCUCUUCUGUCUCUCAUGAUGCCAUCACAUUUUCAGUGUGUAGGUCCAUGUUUUGUCAAAAAAUGAACAGUUAGUCACAUUUAUAGAAUAUAUGAAAAUUGGAUCUUUCACUUGGCUAGGCACAUGGGUGGAGCCUGAUAGCACAUUAUUAGACACAAAAGUGUUUUCCCCAAAUCUAGUUUUUUUCCUCUUUACCUUUGCACCCUCAUCUUUUGUGGUAACUAGGAAGAGAGAGAAACUCAAUUUACAUAAUGGGGGUGUGAAAAUAUAGUUACUAUUAUUUUGAUGUGGAAUAUGAAGUAUCUGAUUUUACUAAGCCUCAUAUGAGAAUGUGUACCAUAGAACUGGCAUUUUCUGAUGAAACCAUUACACUGUAUCUUUCAGUUAACUUGGUGAAAAAUCCUGGCUUUGAGGAGGGUCCAUUCCCCAUUUUCAACUCUACCAACGGUGUUCUGCUCCCUCCUCAACAACAAGAUGGGUUCUCCCCACUUCCUGGUUGGAUCAUUGAGUCCCUCAAGGCUGUGAAGUUCAUUGAUUCAAAGCAUUUCAAUGUCCCAUUUGGGCUGGGGGCAGUGGAGCUUGUGGCAGGCAGGGAAAGUGCCAUUGCCCAAGUCAUCAGAACAGAUACCAACAAAGUCUACAACAUCACAUUUUCAGUUGGAGAUGCCAAAAAUGGGUGCAAUGGAUCCAUGAUGGUUGAAGCAUUUGCUGCUAAAGAUACCUUCAAAGUUCCCUUCAAAUCUGAAGGAAAGGGCACAUUCAGGACUGUGAGUUUCAAGUUCAAAGCUAUUGCAAAGAGAACAAGACUCACUUUCUACAGCUCCUUCUAUCAUACCAGAAGUGAUGAUUAUGGUUCUCUUUGUGGCCCUGUUAUUGAUCAAGUCAUAGUGUUCCCUGUUGCCUAAACAUGGUUUCUUUCUGUUCUACCUUUACUAAAAUAUGUAGUAAUUGAGAUUUUUGCAAUCCCUUGAGUCUGUAUUUUCUCUAUAAUUGCAAGAAGAUGAAACAUAUUCUCAACUGUUGUUCAUUCUUGUAAAUUUCAAUUUUCCUUUUACAUUUUCAUCACAAAACAUGGUUGAAAUCGUUAGUAAGUUGAUAUUAUACAAGUUCAAUUUAAAGGAACUCAUAAAGUACAUGCAUGGAAGGAAUUUGAUCCAAGUGUUACUUUUGAAUUAUAUUUGCUUAUAGAAGGUUAGGAAUUUGUUCCAACGAGUGAUUGAAUUGAUGAUUUAUUAUUGAAAAUGCAUGAUUUCUCAAAGUAGUUUGAGUUUAGAUGUGAAAUAUGAAUUCAUGUUUGAUUGGAUCUAAUAUGAAACCAAAUAAGUAUUAUACACUUAAGAAGGUAAAUUAUUCUUUUGGGUCCAUGUAAAAUAGUGAAAUUAAUUAAAAUAUCCUUCAACAAAUUUUCGUAUUACUUUAUUCUAAGAAAAAACGUAAUUUUGAGCAUCUUAUUAUUAAUGUCACAUGUUAAUACAAUGUUAUUCCAUAUUUGCAUUCUUCAAAUAAUAUAAUAAAAAAAUAUUUAAAACUAUUUUUAUUUUAAUUUAAAAAAAAAGGCUAACAAAGUAGUAUGCUAGUUUGGUAAGCUAAGCCAGACGAGUCAAAGUGGACUGAAGGGUUGAAAUGCGAUCCAAGGCCUACCUUCUCACCACUACUCAGCUAUAAAACAAAGUGCUAAACUAAAGAGAGUUAACAACCAAAAUAUAUACAAAACUUAGUUUGCAAGUCUUGAAGCUAGUUUGUAACAUUGGUUCAUUUCACAUGUAUUUGGACAAUUGAAAAAAUAUUUAGGGAUGUAGACUAGGGGUGGCAAAGCGGUCAGCCGCGCCCCGCUUAGGCUUGCAAAAUGCAAGUUGGUUUUCAUGAUCCGUCUCGCAUUCGAGUUGACCCAUUUUUUUUUUGGAACAUAGAGGAGGAGUGGAGGCAGUAGCGGUAGUAGCGGUGUGCAGCUGCAUAGCGGUAGUAGCGCGCGACAUUUGCGGGCGAAGCCACGCGAGAGAGUGUGUCGUGUGUUGUGUGCUUUUUUUGAACAAUGUAAUGCGUUGUCUUUUGAGUGAAAACCUAAUUUUAUUUCACUCAAAGUUGUCACUCUUCUACCAAACCAUUGCUAUCAAGUUAAUUAAUUUUUUUAUUUUUUAUUUUUUAUUUUUGCGGACUAACAGGUCAGUCCGUCCCGCCCUGCUGUUGGCCCGCGUGGACUACGAGUUAUGCGGGUUGAAAACGUUAACCCACCCCGUGGUUUUUACUGCGGGCCGCGGACCAACCCGCACUGCCUGCCCACUUUGUCACCCCUAAUGUAGACCAUUCAUUUGCAUUGUUAAACACUAUUUCUAUUUUCAUUUUUAUUAAUUGACUAUAUUAUUUUUAAAACAAUAAACUUAAAUAUUUUUUAAAAAAUCAAUAAAUACAAAAUCUUAAAGAAGAUAUUAUCAAAUAUGAAAUAUAAUAAAAAAGUUCUUCAUUUCAAUUGAGAUUUGUCUAAAAUAAAAUUCCUAUGAAUUGAUCCCACUAAAAUAUUCAGAAUAAUAUUUUAUUAUAAUAUAAAUUCUCCAAUCACUGAAAAAUAUACUUCAUAUUUUAAACUUUACUCUCCUAUCUCUCUUUGGAAUGUAAUUUGCUCUCACAUAGUUUAUUCAGGGGAUCAUAAUUUAUUCAUGCUAUCAUUACACUAAUGAAAAUAAAUGUAAGUCUCACAAUGAAAUAUGCAAAUUUGAUUAUAAAAUUUGAGAGCAUUUCAUGUGACUAUUUUGAUAUUCAUACAAAAUAUAUAUUUAUAAACAAAACACAUAAUUUUUAAUCUGCAUAUCUAUUUAAUAAAAUUCAUUAACCUAUUGAUUUCUAGCAAAACCAACAUUUUAUAUUAAUAGUUAGUUAUUGUAGUUUUUCAGUGACUGAGGAUAUUUCACACAAUCUACUUAGUUUGAGACAUCUUUCACACACAUUACUUAUCAAAUCAAAGGUACAAACAUCAUGAAUUAUUUUCAAUGGUGAAUUAAAGUUUUUCAUGAAAACUAAUUUAGAACAUGUGUUUAGUAUAAGAAAAAAAAAACACAAAACCCAUCCCAGAACACUAAUGGAAACAAAAAUGAUAAAUAAAAAAUGCAAAUAUGAAUUACUUAAAGUUGAAGUAAAAUGCCUUAGGUUGUAUUUAGGGUGUAUAUAAAGAAGGAAAGGUAAGUUAAAAUUUGUAUAUUAACAUGGGUAGUUUUAUCCUAGGAAGAUGCUACAAGUGAUAGCCCGUAUGUGUGUCACAAAACCAUAGCAAAGGGGCUUUUAUUUCUGCACCCCCACAUUUUUUCAAACACACUUUCCAGAAUUUGUGAAAUACAUUCCAGCAUAGGAUAACAUUUUCAAAAUAAAUUUUCCCAGAAUGUAUGAAAUAUAUUUUGGAAGAAACUUUUCCAUUUUUUUUAAAUGUAUAUAAUAUUUUCUAGAAUGCAUUUUUUAGAAAACAAGUUUUUUAGAAUACAUAAAAUGUACUCUAAAAUGAGCUUUUCUAAAUGAGACUUUUUUUUUUCUCUUCUUAUUCUUCUAACUAUAACACUUUCAUUCUCUUCUUUUGAAUGCUUUAUUUGAAUUAGGGAGUGAAAAUGAGAGAAUAUAUUUGAGAUGAUUUAAAAGAGAAGUGUAAAGAAAGUUAAAGUGUUUGGAUAGAGUGAAAAAUGUAAGGAAAAUUUAUAAAAGUUUGUAAGAGAUGUGAUUGAAAUUAUAUAUAUUUUUAAUUGAUAAAAAUAUAACUUCACACAUUUAUCUAUUGUUAUAACACAAUGAUAUGAUAAGUGGCAAAUGGUAAGAUGGUAAAACGUAAACUUUCUCUACAAAUCUUCACAAACCAGCAAAGAUUACUCUCUUACUUUCUUUGUCUUUCGACUCUCCUUAAUCACUGCAGACUCCUUGAUCCAAACGUAAACUUUCUUUGAUUUUCCAUCCGCGUGAACACUAAUCAUCCGGAGUGCAACAACAACACCAAACAGUUGUGACAAAAAUAUUGAUUUGAUAUAGAGAGAAAGAAAUGGACGGGGUAAAUUGGUCAUUUUAUCAAAUUAUGAGAAUGCAUGUUCAGAAAUGGGUUAAAAAAGUGGGGGGGUGUAGAAAGGUAAAGCUUAGCAAGGGGUCAAAAUCCCGCUCAAAUUCAAAGCUCCGAAGAUUUGAAAUUCAAACCUAUUCGACCGUUGUCAGAAGUUGCGCAUAAAAUCUAAUUCCUCCAUAGUGAAAACAUUUGCAAAAUCACACUCUCUUUCAAUCCACUUCAACCUUCUUUUUUUCUCUCUCUAGACACUUCCUCCGUGUCAUGGAGCCCCAGACGAAGCGCCCCCUCCAGAGCAGCAGCGCCGCCAAUGUGGCCGCCGCAGCGGGGAAGACCAUCGAAGAAGUCUACCAGAAGAAGACGCAGCUGGAACACAUCCUGCUCCGACCCGACACCUAUGUGGGGUCCAUCGAGAAGCACACGCAGACGCUCUGGGUCUACGAGAACGACGAGAUGGUGCAACGCCCUAUCUCCUACGUCCCUGGCCUCUACAAGAUCUUCGACGAGAUCCUCGUCAACGCCGCCGACAACAAGCAGCGGGAUCCCUCCAUGGACGCCCUCAAGGUCACCAUCGACGCCGAGCAGAACACCGUCUCCGUCUUCAACAACGGCGAUGGCGUACCCAUCGAGAUCCACCAGGAGGAGAAAGUCUACGUCCCCGAACUCAUCUUCGGCCACUUGCUCACCAGCAGCAACUACGACGACAACGUCAAGAAGACCACCGGCGGACGCAAUGGCUACGGCGCCAAGCUCACCAACAUCUUCUCCACCGAGUUCGUCAUCGAAACCGCUGACGGAAAGCGCCUCAAGAAGUAUAAGCAGGUCUUCUUCUCAGCCCUUCAAGUUUCUCUCCAUUUCCUGGCUCUCGUCCUUAAUUGAACAGUUCUAGGGUUUUCAGAAAAUUUUGUUUAAUAAUAGUUCGAGUGAUUACGUUGCUUAAGUAGCGAGUCGUUGGGUUCUUCGUUGGAUUGGAAUGCUAACCAUUCUUUAUCAAUUUUUGGCCUUUAUUGCGGGAGAAUUGCCCGGAAAUUUUUGGUUUCUGCGAAUAAAUCUAUCUACUUUAAUAUUUAAUUCUGAAUUUUGUGAAUUUAGCGUUUUAUGUGUGAUUUUUCUUUGGUUUGAGUGUUUUUCGAUAAUUGGUGUAUGAAGCUGGAAAUGGUCAUUUCUAUGGGUGUUGCUGAUGGGGUUUUCUGGUUGUGGUUGAAAGGUUUUCUCCAACAACAUGGGGAAGAAGUCUGAGCCGGUGAUAACAAAAUGCAAGGCUGGUGAGAACUGGACCAAGGUAACCUUCAAGCCUGACUUGGCAAAGUUUAGAAUGGACCAUCUUGAAGAAGACGUUGUGGCUUUGAUGAAAAAGAGGGUGUUAGACAUGGCUGGGUGCCUUGGAAAGACAGUUAAGGUUGAACUUAAUGGACAGUUGAUCCGCAUGAAAUCAUUCCGUGACUAUGCUGAUCUUUACCUCAAAUCAGCAGAGAAAUCCAAACCAGUGCCACUUCCAAGGUCUGUGAAGUGCAGUUUGAGAAGCCAGUAUUUUUUUUUCCUGUCCUGUAUUUGCUGUACUAACUUGGCUAUGUUGUUGUCUAUAGGAUUCAUGCAAAAGUAGGUGACAGGUGGGAGAUCUGCGUGAGUCUAAGUGAUGGCCAGUUUCAACAGGUGACUAGUGAGCUUCUGAAGCAAAGUUACUGCUUCCUGGUAGUUCAUUGAUGUUAUCUCUUUUAUCUCAUACACUGCUAAUUUGUUUUUAACAGGUCAGCUUUGUUAAUUCCAUUGCUACAAUCAAGGGCGGAACUCAUGUUGAUUAUGUCACCAAUCAGAUUACAAACUUUGUAAUGGCUAAAGUAAAUAAGAAGAAAAAGGAUGCCAGUGUGAAAGCUCACAACGUGAAGAAUCAUUUGUGGGUUUUUGUCAAUGCGCUUAUUGACAAUCCUGCCUUUGAUUCUCAAACUAAGGAAACUCUCACAACUAGACAGGCUAGUUUUGGUUCUAAAUGUGAUGUUCCUGAGUCAAUGCUGAAGGAAGGUUUGUUUUUCUAAAAAAUCUACAUAAUCCAACCGUAAGAAUUGGUGUCUUACGCAUACAUGUUGCACUGUUUUGCAGUUUCAAAUUCUGGUAUAGUGGACACUCUCCUAUCGUGGGCAGAUUUUAAGCAAAGCAAAGAUCUUAAAAAAUCUGAUGGGACAAAGACUCAGAGGCUUCGCGGAAUUGUGAAGCUAGAAGAUGCCAAUGAUGCUGGUAGUAAGAACUCAGAGAAGUGUACCUUGAUAUUGACCGAGGGAGAUUCUGCUAAGGCCCUUGCUGUAAGUUAUUUUUGCAAACCUGAAUAAUAUGAUUAACUUCAAUUUGAAAACUUAGAAGCCAAAGAUCUCUCAAAGAACACAUAAUUUCUACUUUGAAAUAACAGUUGUACGACUUUUCUUUAAUUAGCCUGUUUCAGACGUAGUUGUAAGCCGACAAUCAAUAUCCAUUUAAGAUUCUUCUUUACACACCUGGGUUCAUUAUUUUUUUUUACCCAAAUCACAAACCCGUAUACGUGUUAUUAAGGAUUAAGAGUUGUGACAUUUUUUUAUUAUUUAUGCAGAUGGCUGGCCUCUCAGUUGUGGGUCGAGACCAUUAUGGGGUGUUUCCUUUGAGGGGUAAAUUGCUCAAUGUACGGGAAGCCAGCAGUAAACAGAUUAUGGAUAAUGAAGAAAUUCAAAAUAUAAAGAAGAUUCUUGGACUGCAGCAAAACAAAGAAUACACAAACGCGAGGUCUUUGAGAUAUGGUCAUUUGAUGAUUAUGGCUGAUCAGGUGGGUGUAUUUUGAUAUUAUAGUGGUGUUGCUUUGACUAUUUUUCUGACGGAAAUUAUAAUGGUUCAACUUUCCCGGUGGUUCAGGAUCAUGACGGUUCCCACAUCAAAGGGUUACUAAUAAAUUUCAUUCAUUCGUUCUGGCCAUCACUGCUAAAAGUUCCAACUUUUAUGGUUGAGUUUACCACUCCCAUAAUAAGGGUUAGUAUGCUUUUUUGUACUCACGAUAAAGAAAUCAUACUGUCACAUACUAUUUAUAUCACGUCACACAUUUCAUAUUUUGAAUUUGCUGUCUGUACAGGCCUUUCAUUCAAAUGGUAACAAAUUAUCGUUUUAUUCCAUGCCUGAAUAUGAAUCAUGGAGAGAAAGGUUGGGGAAUAGUGCAAAUAGUUGGAAGAUAAAGUACUAUAAGGUUUGUUGCUGUAAGGAUGGAGAACCUUGAAAGUAGCUUUAGAGUUCAUUCCAUUUUCAGUCAGAGUGUUUACUUUGUAUCCUUUUUUCUGUUACAUACAGGGUUUGGGUACAAGUACUCCCCAGGAAGGGCGAGAGUACUUCGGAGAUCUUGUUAAGCAUAAGAAGGACUUUGUUUGGGAUGAUGAGCAAGAUGGAAGUGCAAUUGAGAUGGCAUUCAGUAAGAAAAAGGCUGAAGAUAGGAAGACUUGGAUUCGUAAUUUUGAGGUGAGAAGGUUUUCCCAUCAGACAUUGUUGUACAUUUUAUUGAAAGAUAUGAAGUCUUGGGAUUAAUUUUUCUUGAGGUGUGAUGUUUAAUUUAGGGGAGUAUCUGCUAAUAAAAAUCUACCACUCUGUUCUUGCAGCCUGGCACAUUUCGGGAUCAUACAGCCAGAUAUAUAAACUACAGGGAUUUUGUUAACAAAGAGCUUAUAUUGUUCUCUAGGGCGGAUCUUCAAAGGUCUAUUCCCUCUAUGGUUGAUGGCCUCAAGCCUGGUCAGAGGAAGAUUCUGUUCUGCUCAUUUAAGAAGAAAUUGUUCAAAGAAAUAAAAGUAGCUCAGUUUAUUGGUUACGUGUCUGAGCACUCUGCUUACCAUCACGGUGAGCAAAGUUUAUCUAGCACAAUUAUUAACAUGGCACAAGAUUUUGUGGGUAGCAACAACGUCAAUCUUCUUAAACCAAAUGGUCAAUUUGGUACUCGUAACCUGGUAAGAUGAAUCAGUACAUCUGAAUUUGAAGAUCAGCAUCUGUGCUUCUUGUGCUCUGAAACAUAUGAAUUAACAGUGUAAUUUGUUCUUUUAACAGGGAGGCAAAGAUCAUGCCAGCGCCAGGUACAUUUACACUGAACUUAACACUAUUACUCGGUGCAUCUUCCAUGAAGAUGAUGACAAGCUUCUUGAAUACUUGAGCGAGGAUGGGAAGUCAAUUGAGCCCAGCUGGUAUUUUUUUUUAUUCCUGAAAGACUUUCCUUUACUUUAAGAUCAGUGACGGGUACGGCGUUUUCUCAAAUUAUUUUUGUUCUACCUCACAGGUACAUGCCGGUUAUACCGUUGGUACUUGUCAAUGGGAGUGAGGGAAUUGGGACAGGCUGGAGUUCCUUCAUUCCCAAUUAUAAUCCAAGGGAAAUUAUUGCCAACAUUAGGCGUUUGCUGAGUGGGGAGACGAUGGUGCCAAUGAAUCCAUGGUACAAAGGAUUCCGAGGAAUAAUUGAGAGAAGCCCCAAGGAAGGUGGAUACAUAGUUAAUGGCUUAGUGGAAGAAAUGGAUGAACAAACUUUCAAAAUCGCUGAGCUGCCAAUCCGUAAAUGGACCCAAGAUUACAAGCAGUUCCUUGAGUCUAUAACUGAUGGUUCUCCUAAUGUGAAGGAUCCUUUAAUUGAUGUAAUAACCUGAACCGAAAUACUUCCUUACUAUAUAUGCACAAUAAAUUAUUAUCCUUUUUCAAAUUUUCUUAUGAAAAUUUUCUUAAUGCAGGAUUUCCGACAGAACGGUGAUGACGCUAUUGUAGACAUAGAAGUCAGGAUGAAGCUAGACAAAAUAACGGGCAUCAUGCAAGAGGGUCUGCUUAAAAAGUUUAAACUGACCACCUCUUUAAGCACAAACAACAUGCAUCUAUUUGACGCAGAAGGGAGAAUUAAGAAAUAUGACACUCCAGAACAAAGUGUGUAUACCUUUAUUAGAUGAACUUCUGAAUUACAGAUAAAUUUACAGACAUUUUUUUAUAUUUGAUUUCUUGUGCAGUUCUGGAAGAGUUCUUCCCACUUCGGCUGGAUUAUUAUGAAAGAAGAAAGGUGAGUUUGUUGGGUUUGUAAUUGGAAGGUCUCUAAAUCUUAAAAAAAAACUCUACUAUUGAGAACUGAAAUGCAAUUUGGGUAUUCAUGCAGAAUUUUAUACUGAACGACCUUGAACGACUUUUGUUAGUGUUGGACAACAAAGUUAGGUUUAUUUUAGGGGUUGUGAGUGGAGAAAUUAUUGUGAGCAACAGGAAGAAUGCCGAUUUGGUGUUAGAGCUGCAGCAGAAAGGUUUCACUCCCAUGCCAAAGAAAGGUAAAUCUGCAGAACCUGUAGUUGCUGGGGCAAAUGACGAAGAAGAGCAGGAAGAUGACAAUAACUCUACAGAACAGGAAACUGGAAGUGUUGAAUCAGCAAAACGAGGCGACUAUGAAUAUCUGUUAUCCAUGUCUAUUCGGACUUUGACCUUCGAAAGUGUUCAGAAGCUUUUGGGAGAGAAAGCUGAAAAGGAAAAGGAGUUCGAAAUUUUGAAAGCAACGCCAUCAAAGUCUAUGUGGUUGAAGGAUCUGGAUGAGCUCGAGAAGAAACUUGAUGUAGGAAAUUUGGCUAAUUUAAAUCUUUACUUAUUAAUAAUUAUAGGAUGUUUACUUAUCUUUUAAUUAUCAUGUUUUUCUGUUUUCAGGAAAUAGAUAGCAAAGAUGCUGAGGAAGAACGAAAAAGAUCAACUCAAGCAACUAAGAAGGCAUCCAAUCGUGCUUUAGGAGCAACAAAAGCAGCUAAGAAGCCACCACAACCGCGGAAAAAUACUAAGAAGGCCAAGAAUGUUGAGCCAGAGAAUGAUAGUUCUUCAAUGGAAGUCGGUAAGUCUGAAUCAGCAAUUCAUUGGUUUGAAAAUAAGUAAAGAAACCAAUUUACUUUAACAAAAAAAAAAUUUAGCAUUGUUAAGUGUACUAAUAUGAUUAUUUUUUAAAUGAAGAGAAUUUUGAAAAUGGUCCAUUAUGUAUAACAUUUUUUUACUGCAAGAAAUACUAUUUACAUGCAUUCCAAUUUUGAUGGUAUAACUUUUUUUCUAUUUGUCUCUUAUCAGAGAAUGUUGCCCAAGUUACUACUAACCCACCACAAGGAAGAGGAGCAGGUUCUGAGUAUACCCAGACGGUAUGCUAGUUGCCAAAUCUUUUUUCAAGAACUAGUUUGGUGCAAGUUUUUGUUGAGCACAAAUUGUUUUUUUUUUUUUUAUCAGGUUGGGGAAGAUGAAAUUGCAUCACUUCAAGAACGGCUAGCUGCAUAUAACUUUGCACCAUCUAGUGAUAAAUCAACAGGUAAGUAUUUUAGCAUCACUGAAAAUUCUGAAUCUUCGAAUUAAUUCCCGUGCAGUAUUGAUGUGAGCACUUACUAACCUGCACAGGCAUGGAAAAUGAAGAGCCUCCUGCGCCUGCUGGGAAGACAGUGCCAAAAAGAAGGGGUCCUGCUGCAAAAAAGAAGUCAACCAUAGUGUUGGAUGAUUCAGCUAGUGAUGAUGAUGUUAAAGAUGACGAAGAGGAUGAAAUCAUGCAGCCAGCCACAGGAAAAAAGAAAGGUGGGAGAAAACCUGCUGCUGCUAAAAAGGCACCUGCUGCUACCAGGAAGAGAAACGUAGGUGGCAAGCAAUCUCAGUUAUUGGGUCAAAAGCUUAUAACCGAUAUGAUGGAGAAAACAGGGAUAUCACCUGAGAAGAAAGUGAGGAAGAUGAGGGCAUCUCCAUUCAACAAGAAAAGCAGUUCUGUGUUGGGCAGGAUUGCUGCUGAUGACAAAGAUGAAAGUGAAGACCUUUCUGGUGGUUCUGCUGGUUCAAACUCUUCUCCAGGCACUUCAGAGGAAGUGGUUGAGGUUGCACAACCCCCAGCAAGAGCUAGACCUCAAAGAGCCAAUCGUAAGCAAACGACGUACAUACUGAGUGAUUCUGAAAGUGACAAAGAUUCUGAUCAAAAUGAAGAAUACUCUGAUUUUGAGGAAGAUGACGAAGACUCGGCCUAGGUGUGUGCUUUUUUUAACAACUUGAAGAAACUUGAUCUGCGUCUUGUGGAUUUUAACUCCUUAUGUGUAUAAUUGUGAACUUGAUUUUAACUUCAUGAAUGGAAUGGAUUUGUAAUUAUCUCCAAGAUUUUUGAUUUAGAAGAGUUUCUCACUCAUUAUCACCUGAGUUAUAUUAAUUGACAGCAGCCCAAUGAUUUUAGAUUUGCUUAACAAAGGCUCCAACUUUUGUAGUACUGAUUAUGAUGAUUCCUGUGCUUAUAAAAUGAUUAUAUAAUAAUUAAUUUAUAUGUACUUCUAAAAUAAUUUGAUAUUUCUGGCAAGUUGAAAUUCUUAUUAUCUUAUCAUUGUCUCAAAAGGUAAAAGAAAUGUAAUAGUUGAAAAAAUUGAGUAGAUGAUGAAUAAAUAAUGGAAUUAGAGCAUUUUUAAAACUUCUAUUAGCCAAAUUGAGAUUUUCCAUAUUUUUUCUUGCUUGAAUUUGUUGCAUAUUUAUUAAUAUGAAAACAACCUAAGAAUAAACUUUUAAGGUAUCUGAAUUUCUUAAUCUAAAAAUACGGGUACUUUUGACUUCUCUAAUAUCCCACCUAUAUGCAAGAAAAAACCAUGUAGUGUAAAAAACAAUUGUCACUAAUUUAAUUUUCAUGAAAUGAGCUUAAUUUUUCUUAUAAUCAUAAAUGCUUUCAAAAUAUUAACUUGUUAUUUCCAAGAUACUUAAUUAUUCAAUCAACAUAACUAAGUCUAUCUUCCCACACUAAUGUUGUAUCCAAGUGUACUAUAUUUACUAUAUACACAAGUACUUAUAAAUUGAAUUAGUGUUUCAUUUAUUUCGGUCCUGCCUGUGAUUAAUAAAAAAUUUAUUGUCAAUUUUGUGGAACAAAUCUGGGGUUCAAAUUGCAGCCAAAACUCAAUAGACACAGUGAGGAAUGUCUGGUAAAAAUUUCAGACCAAAACACCCAAGGAGUAAUAUGUCCCUGACUGAGAGUGAACAAAACUGGUUUUCUGAAAACAAAACGUUCUGGGUUUUCUUUCCCGUAUCUUCUUUUUGUGAUUCGUUUAUGGACGUGCCUCCUUACCUAGGUGCAAACAACAUAUGAAAGUACUUGUGUGAAUUUUUUCAGCGCAAUACGGACGUAGAAUAAAAAUUGCAGAAAGUGAGGCAAAAUUUCACAUGUUGUCGUAGAGGAUAGCCUUGGUUUGAGCGAAAAUUUCUGAAAAAUUCUCUCGAAAUAGUUUUUUUCCUGAAAUUCCACUUAAGAAUCUCCACUGAAUUCAGGACAAAAUGCGACAAAUUUCCGGUCAAACAGAUGAGUAUUGACCCACGAAAAAAGUCAAAUAGUUUCACACACGAACGAACAUUCCUUUCAGCCCUGACAGUGAUCAAUAAAAAAUUUAAUCCUAAUCUUGUGGGACGAAUCUAGGGCACAAAUCUCAUCCAAAACUCAAUAGACACAGUGACGACCGUCUGGUAAAUAUUUCUUACCAAAAUACCCAAGUAGUAAGGGGUAGUAAGUCCCAGACCGAGAGUGAACAAAACUGGUUUUCCGAAAACAACACGUCUUGACUUUUCUUUCCCGUAUGAUAUUUUUGUGAUUCGUUUAUCGAGGUUCCUCCUUACCUGGGUGCAAACAACAUAUGAAAGUACUUGUGUAAAUUUUUUCAGCGCAAUACGGACCCAGAAUAAAAAUUGCAGAAAAUUGGGCAAAAUUUCACAAGUUUUGGUAGAGGAUAGCCAUGGUUUGAGCGAAACAUUCUCCCCAAAUAGUUUUUUUUUUCUGGAAAUUCACGUCAGAAUAUCCACUGAAUUCAAGAAAAAACGCGACAAAUUUUAGGUUAAACGGAUGAGUAUUGACCCACGAAGAAAAUCAAACAAUUUCACACACGCACGAACCUUCCUUUUAACCCUGGCAGUGAUCAAUAAAAAAUUUAUUGUCAAUCUUGUGGGACGAAUCUGGGACUAAAAUCUCAGCCAAAACUCAAUAGACAUAGUGACGAACGUCUGGGAAAAAUUUUAGACCAAAACACCCAAGGAGUAAGGUGUAGUAAGUCCUACACCGAGAGUGAACAAUACUGGUUUUCCGAAAACAAAACGUCUUGACAUUUCUUCCCCGUAUCUUCUUUUUGUGAUUCGUUUAUAGACGUGCCUCCUUACCUGGUUGCAAACAACAUAUGAAAGUACUUGUGUGAAUUUUUUCAGCACAAUACGGACGCAGAAUAAAAAUUUCACAAAGUAGGUCCAAAUUUUAUAAGUUUUGGUAGAGGAUAGCCUUGGUUUGAAAGAAAAUUUCUGAAAAUUCUCCCAAAAUAGUUUUUUCCUGAAAUUCCACGUCAGAAUCUCCAUUGAAUUCGGGACAAAAAGUAACAAAUUUUAGGUCAAACGGAUGAGUAUUGACCGACAAAAAAAAUCAAACAGUUUCACACACGAACGAACCUUCCUUUCAGCGCUGGCAGUGAUCAAUAAAAAAUUUAUUGUCAAUCUUGUGGGACGAAUCUCGAGCUCAAAUCUUAGCCAAAACUCAAUACACACAGUGACGAACGUCUGGUAAAAAUUUCAAACUAAAAAACCCAUGGACAAAGACGUAGUAAGUCCUAGACCUAGAGUGAACAAUACUGAUUUUCCGAAAACAAAAUGUACUGACUUUUCUUCCCCGUAUCUUCUUUUUGUGAUUCGUUUAUGGACGUGCCUCCUUACCUGGUUACAAACAACAUAUGAAAGUACUUGUGUGAAUUAUUUCAGCGCAAUACGGACACAGAAUAAAAAUUGCAAAAAGUAGGGUGAAAUUUCACAAGUUUUGGUAGAUGAGAGUCUUGGUUUGAGCGAAAAUUUCUGAAAAAUUCUCCGGAAAAAGUUUUUUCCUGAAAUUCCCCGUAAGAAUUUCCAUUGAAUUCGGGACAAAAAUUGACAAAUUUCAGGUCAAACGGAUGAGUAUUGACCGACGAAAAAAAUCAAACAGUUUCACACACCAAAGAACCUUCCUUUCAGCGCUGGCAGUGAUCAAUAAAAUUUUUUUUGUCAAUCUUGUGGGACGAAUCUCGAGCUCAAAUCUUAGCCAAAACUCAAUACACACAGUGACGAACGUCUGGUAAAAAUUUCAAAACUAAAAAACUCAUGGACUAAGGCGUAGUAAGUCCCAGACCCAGAGUGAACAAUACUGGUUUUCCGAAAACAAAAUGUCCUGACUUUUCUUCCCCGUAUCUUCUUUUUGUGAUUCGUUUAUGGACGUGCCUCCUUACCUGGUUACAAACAACAUAUGAAAGUACUUGUGUGAAUUAUUUCAGCGCAAUACGGACAGAAUAAAAAUUGCAAAAAGUAGGGUAAAAUUUCACAAGUUUUGGUAAAUGAUAGUCUUGGUUUGAGCGAAAAUUUCUGAAAAAUUCUCCGGAAAAAGUUUUUUCCUGAAAUUCCCCGUAAGAAUUUCCACUGAAUUCGGGACAAAACGGGAGAAAUUUCAGGUCAAACGGAUGUUUAUUGACCCACGAAAAAAUCAAACAGUUUCACACACGAACCAGGGCUGAAAGGAAGCUUCAUUCGUGUGUGAAACUGUUUGAAUUUUUUCGCGGGUCAAUACUCAUCCGUUUGACCUGAAAUGUGUCGCGUUUUUUCGCGAAUUGAGUGUAGAUUCUUACUUGGAAUUUCAGGAAAAAACUAUUUCGGGAGAAUUUUUCAGAAAUUAACACUCAAUCCAAGGCUCUACUUGUGAAAUUCUACCAAAACUUGUGAAAUUUCGUCUUACUUUCUGCAAUUUUUAUUCUGCGUCUGUAUUGCGCUGAAAAAAUUCACACAAGUACUUUCAUAUGUUGUUUGCACCCAGGUAAUGAGGCACGUCCAUAAACGAAUCACAAAAAGAAGAUACGGGGAAGAAAAACCACGACGUUUUGUUUUUGGAAAACCAAUUUUGUUCACUCUCGGUCUAGGACUUACUACGCCUUACUCCUUGGGUGUUUUGGUUUGAAAUUUUUAUCAAACGUUCGUUACUGUGUCUAUUGAGUUUUGACUGAGUUUUGAUCCCCAUAUUCGUCCCACAAGAUUGGCAAUAAAGUUUUUAUUGAUCACUACCAGGGCUGAAAGGAAGUUUCGUUCGUGUGUGAAACUGUUUGAUUUUUUUCGUGAGUCAAUACUCAUUCGUUUGACUUGAAAAAGAAGAUACGAGGAAGAAAAGCCAGAACGUUUUAUUUUCGAAAAACCAGUUUUGUUCAAUAUCGGUCUGAGACUUACUACGCCUUAUCCCAAGUGGUAAUUUGUGUCAUUUAAUUAUUGUUAGAGUUUAAAUCCUAAUGAUGAUAUAUUAGAUAAAUCAGUCAAAAUGAGGGGUUUAGUCUGAUCCAUAACUAGUUCGGAUGGGGUCUGAAAAUCUUCUAAUAAUUGGUUACAAAAUUUGUCACAACCCACCUUUAAUCCACUUAAACCAAGUUGAAUCCAUUGGUAGGUUGGGUUGAUCCUUAAACUCACUUAAAAAAAAUCACUUAGUUGUAAAUAUAAUGUUAAAAAUGCAUUAUAAAGCGCAGUAUCUUUUGAACACCUCAUUACAAAACAUACUUCUUAAAUAUAACAAACCAUUAUAAUAUUUUACAGUUUUUUUUCUGCAAUCAUUUAAUAUUUCUUAAAAUUGACAAAAAAAUUAUUUCAAAACAUGACAUGUUUAAAUUGAAGUAGUUAUUGUCAUGAACCACUUCAGUUAUAUUAUAUUGAAAAAUCGUUCAAUACUACAGUUGUAUCAAAUUUCACUAUAAUUGUAUCUUAGUUAUAUUAAAUUUCACUAAAAUUGUAUUGUACUAUACCGGUUGAUACUGGAUGAGUCAGUCUUGAACCUGGUAACCGACCGAGUCAAAGAACAUCAAGUUACUUAAUAAAUAAGAAUAACAACAAUUACAAUAACACUUAAUGAGUCACAUUCAUAUUUCGAAAUAUGCAGGAAAUAUAUCUGACAAAUCAACUAAAUACUGAUUAACUGAAAGAUGUUACAAGUACUAUCUAGAUAUUCAAAUAUACUUCUCUAUUAAUCAAGGAUCAUGAUGUCAAUAACUUUGACCCGUCUUGGCAAGUGUCCAUAACUAACACUAUAAAUAAAACCCUAUGCGGAGGUGUAAGGUACGUUUUUCACAUUCUACUAGAAUAUACUUAAAUCAUAGCACUGACUUGAGCGUCGGAGUGCAAUCGUAGGUACCCCUCUGACCGACCGAGCACCAAUAACAAAAGGAGGAGACUUGAAGGAAAGAGUAAUGAGGCUAAUGGCACGUCAACAAUUGUAUAACCAGUUCCAGAUAUUAUCUAUGUCCGUAUAUGUACACGUACUUUCCCUACCCGACUUGUCCAAUUUUAAAAUAGAAAAAAUUCUAAUUUCAAAAAAUACCAAAUAGAAUUACCCUAUUCAUUUGAAAAAAAAAACUAAUUUUCACUUAUCUAAAAAUAUUGAUGUGAUGUACUUUAUUUUAUUUUGAAGUCAUGUUAUUUAUACAAACUAUCCACCCACUUUGUCAAUGAUUAAUCUUUGUUGAUAAAUUUGCUUAACCUUUUCUAGUGAGGUGUCUCAUCCUAAUCAUGGUUUUUUGUUCAUCCACAAGGUUUGAACCUAAGACCUUAUUUAAAGGGACCAUGUUGAAUGCCACUAAAAAUGACCAGCAAGGUUCUCUAAUGGGCAUUAAUCAUCAAUGAAGUGAGAGGAUUAUUCCUACCAAUAAUAUAACUAAGAAAACUUUGAUUUUUUCAAGGAUUAAUGAUGUACAUUGAAGGUGGUUAUGGUGAAGAAAGUUAUGUGGUUUAGAAGGCUGAGUAAACAUGAAGAUAGUACAUUCCUAUUGCUAAAUGGAAAAACAUGUUAUCUUUACAAUUUUGACUAAGAAACUCUAGCAAUUAUCUGUUUCCUUGCUACAAUUAGUAUCUACUUCUACCCUACCUAUUCAUCUAUCUAACUAAGCUUAUAUGAUAGAGAAAUCUUCAUCCAAACCAUCUAUUUCUCCUCUAAGUCUAUGUUGUUGGAUGAUCAAAACAGAAAUAGUCAUUGAGAAGUCUGAUCCAGAAAGAACAUCUCCUAUUGGUCCAAGUUCUGGGCACUGUUGCCAAUCAUUCAUGCCCCUUGUCAAAACUGAGUUCAUUCCACCUUCCCUUCCAACAAUCACCAAUGAGUAUUGCCCUUCAAAGGAUCUCAGAGUGGAGAAUGUCUCAGCAGCAUUUGCAAGGUGCUUCUCCAUGUAUGCAAUACUACCCCCAAUCACAUGCCUUUCGUAGAACUGAGUGAAGCAUUCAUCAUCCAAUUUCCUCUCUUUCUCCUGCUCUGGAGGGAUGAUCCUGUAUAAUGCUGAGGACUCCACACUGUUAUCAUCUUCCAGGAAUCUUAUUACUUCCAGCUUAACUUGUGGAUGCUGCGCUACACGGCUAGCAUAGGCAAGGGCUUCUCUAUCAUCUUUUCCACCAAUGAAUAUCACUGCCACGUUUACUGUUUCUUCACCUCCUCUUAUACCUUCAACUGAUCCAAGACCUCUAUCUACUAGAAUCCCAACAGAACAAGGAGCACUUCUCAGUACCUGUUCAACAAAAAUAUCUGUUUAACUGCUGCUGAAAAAGUUAAGAGUAAAUCACAAUGAACACCCUUCUGAGAUUUUAUCAAAUUAUACUUACAAUCUUGUUUUUUCACUAUUACAAUGGUCUUCUUUAUCAUGGGAUGUAAGUGCAAUGUUUUUAAACUUUAAGGGCCAGAGACACCUAUGAUGUAAAAAUGAGUGAUCAUAUACUGACUGUUCUCAAGGGAAGUUGGAGUUUUGUAGAAAUUUCAAAAACUCUGAGUGAUCAUAUACUUACAUCAACAUUCUCAGAGUUGAUGUACUCUAAGAAUGUUAAUUUUAAUGUGCCUUUUCUUAUUCUAGUAUUUAUUGGUUUUUAUUUCACGUCAUGUCUUUUAACUGAAUCUAAAAUGAGUGUAUCAGACUAUUUGCGUUGAUCUAAGUAAGGAAAAUAAAUUAGAAAAAAUAUUGUCUUCCUUUUUUUUCUUUAUUUUAUAAUAGAAUUUGAUGCAUGCUUGUUGAAAAACUUGGAACUAUGCCAGAGUUAAGACGAUCUUCCAUUUCUUUUGUUUUAACAGUAUGAAAGGUGUGUUGAGGUUCUGAGUACCUUUCGGUUGACAUAUCUGAACCCUGCAUUACCACCAUCCAACCUUCUAUCCUCACGCUGGUUCCUGUGGAAUGGCAAUAUGAUGAGGGCAAUCAUCAAGUCCUCAGCUAAAACGCAAAUGUCUUGUGGCAUGUUAGUGAUUGUUGAGAGUGUCAUGGUUCUUUUGAGUGUGAUGCCAUCAUCAUUGUCCUUCACAUAGGCUUGGAAUAAGGUGGUAACUUGGUCUCUCAGCUCCAUCACUGCCCUGUCUUUCACUGUGUCUCUGUGCACUGCUUCUUCCCUAUCCACUGUCUCUGAUAGUUCAGCAGUGAGUUCAAUCAUGUCACUGACAUACACCACAAUGCCGGUGCCACCCGUCCCUUUUGUGAUCUCCAUCAAGUUGAUGGAAGCAGGAGCAUUUUGAGGUCUUUGAACACACACCAGGAUCCUUAGCUCACUUGAGGGGUCAAGCAUUUGAAGUGCCAAACGAUGAGUAGGUGCUCUUUUCUUUGCUCGUCUAAUGAUGCUUGCUACAAUUCUUGAUGCAGGUAAAGCUGUUAAAAAUGUUCCCAUUACCAACACAAUGCCUGUGGAAGUAGUCACACCACCACAACCUAUCUGGUAAAUAGCACAAGAACAAUAUGAGCCUAGCAGCUUCAAGUAACCCAAUGCCAAACAUGAUUUCAGUUACUUUCUGUAUUAUUACACUAAAAUGGUCUCAUUGUUAGAAGCAUCCUGCUACAUCAACUAAGUUAAACUGAAUUUUCACUAAUUUUUAAGCACAAGAAUAAAGUUACCCAAGAAUGUGUGUCAAAGUGAGAAAAACAGAUCUAAUAGUAAUGACCAAAAUGAAGUGUCUGAUUUUGCAAAAUUGAAGCAGAAAGACUCACCACUUUCAUAGCUAAGUAGAUCUGCAAAUGGCCCUUAGUGACAAGGAGCAUUGCUAUUGCAACCGAUUCAGGCCAGUGAAAGCCAGACAUGAACCCAUAGAUGACUAUUCCAACAACUUUUCCAGCUGUUGCCACAAGCAAAACCACAAUUAGUCUCACCCAUGUUGCAGCAUGGUGUGCAAGAAACAGCCUGAAAUUAGACACAUAGCCCAUCCACAAGAAAAAGAUGGGAAAGAAAAUAGUGGUCAACAUGUAGUUGAUUCUUGUGAUAACCCAUUUGGAAACUCUACCCUCCCUGGGAACACAAAGCCCUACCAGAAAAGCACUUAAAAUUGGAUUAUAAUAAUAUACAGUGGUGGAGGCACACAUCAAGACCAUGAAGGCAAUGGAGAGUACCAAGUGUGGACCUUUCAUGGGUCUACCUUCAGGGUUCUCAUUGCUCACCCACUUCAUAAGCAUUGGUGACACCAUGGCUGUGAACCCUACCUGCACCAGCACUACAAACACCACAUGAACAGUCCUCCUAAUCUCAAACCUUGCAUGCAAAUUUUGACAGUAUGCUGGCAUUGGCACAACUAUGUAGCCAAUGGAAAGCAUCAAACAGCACAAGAAAUCUGUGUGCACAGCAGCCCCAAUGAUAAGCUUCCCAAUAUCUGAUUUUCCUAUUUUGAGCUGGGUUAUCAAACGGGUCAAGACAGGGGAAUCCGUGCUAGAAAUCAUUGUGGAGAAGGCUAAGGUGAACUCUAGCAGCUUGUUUUGAUCUGGAAAGUAUCUGAAGGUUGGAGUUAUAAGACCUCCCAUGAUGAACGUGCUUACAACUCCUGCUACAGCAAUUUUAGUAUACCUGUUUGGUCUUGCAAACAGAACAUAAGGAUCCAUCUCUAUUCCCAGGGUGAACAUGUAACAUGUCAUUCCAAAAUCAAUGAUAAAUCCAAACGUUAGGUUGAAUUUCUCAAACAGCCUGCGUACAUACCCUAUGUUGCCCACAACUAGUCCUACCUGCACAACAUCAUUAAAACACAACAUCAUUUCAUUUUUCACUUUUUCUUUCUCUAAAUAACAUAAGGGCAUGUUUGGUUUUUUUUUUUCUUCGGAUCUCAUAUUCCAAAUAAUCAAACCAAAAACAUGCAUGUAGCUGUGGGGGAAAGAAGCUCACAAUUAUGUCUGAAGUAAUGCGUGGUUGUUUAUAAGGCUUUAGUAGAAAAUGGAAACCAUUGCAGGCAAUCACCAUCCCAAUAUAUAUAACAAAGUUCUUAGCUACUUCCAAUAUCAGGUUACCCAACUUGUCUCCACACACAGAUGGCUCCAUAGACUUCAUUGGCAACCCAAAAGCCAUUUUUGACAACCCAAAAGGUUCUUCUUUAGAUAUUUUCUCUAGAUUAAUGUUGUCUUCCUUUUUCUUUCUUCUUCUUCUUUGCCUUGAUGACCAAGGACACCAUUUUUUCUUCUUAGUUUUGUUUUGUUAAUGAAUAAUUAACACCAGUGGCUGUGAUUCGUAGCUUUCUUUCAGGAGACAAUAGAGGAGCAUAUAACAAGGCUAUAUGGCUUGUGAAUUAUGAACCGAAAAACAUGGAUAAAUCACAAAUCUUCCCUUCAUCCCCAUCACUUAUUAUUAGUCAUAAGCAUUGUUUAACAAAUGCUUCUCUACACAUCUUCAAAUCUUAAAAACAACUAUUCUCACUCUUUCUCAACACCCAAUUGCAAUUUUCUCUCUUUUAUUUAAUCUUUUUGUAUAACCAAAUUAAUUUGGAUAUUUUGUUUUUUUUUUCUUCCAUUUGAGCCACGUAGGGUCCAUUUUGUUUAGGAUCAUUAGUUUAAAUAAUCUCUUAAACUAAUUACACAGAAAGAUAUAGAUUAGAUGUGGUUAUACAUUUUUCGAGUAUAAUUAAUAUUACAAAUAAUUGUGACUCCUUAGGGUAAGAAACAUAUGAAAAAUUAUAAAAAAAAUUAUCAUUUAUAUAUAUUUUGAAAAAUUAAGUAGAAAAUCAUUUUAAACCCCAAAUUCUAUUUUUCCACUUAAUGAUUUUAUGCAUAAAAAAUAAUUUUUUUAUCAACAUGAAAAAAAUAAAUAAAUAUAAACCACAGGAUGAUCCUCCAACCAUUUUACAAAUACUUCUUUCAAAAUAGAUACUCUAAAACCACAAACCAACAAACAGGGUAAACUAAUGGAGAGACACCACCAAUCAUAAAAAGAAAAGGUAGAAGCAAAUUUAGAUAUAAUGUAAAAUCAAACUUUUAAUUGAAGCAAAGAAAAUAUUUCAGAAUAAAUGAUCACUCCUUUAAAAAUGUGUUUGUUUAUAUGUCUCUAAAUCUCACUAAUGACGGCAACUCAAACGACAUUUACAUUGGGACAUUACCUAAUCGAAAAUCCUAGAAAAUAAUUACAUAGAAAAAUAAAUUGAAUAUGAUAUGGGUUUUAAAAGGAUUACAGACAAGGUAAUACAAAGUCUUAUUAAGAACACAAUUAAGUGCUGCAGAAACCAAAAGUAUCUUAUAUUCUUCAAUUACUUUGAAGGUGAAACUCUAAUCUGCAUAAUUUUUAUCACGCAGAAUACUACAAAAAAAGUAUACAGAUAACACUUAAAUUGAAGUGCUCCAUGGAUACAGAAUUAUUCAAUCACUCUGAGUAGGCAUUUUGAAGCGACACAGAGGGCAAGAGUGGCCUAUUUGCAACCACUCACUGAUGCAGCUUUUGUGAAACAUGUGCAAGCAAGGCAUAGAAACACCAACAUGAAAAUCAUCGAAACAAAUGGCACACCUUUGCAAACCCUUUUGUUCAGAUAUCUCCAAACGUUCCACCAAUGUCUUGGCUGCAGGCACAAAUCCAUAAUCUUCCUCCUCCUCCUCUUCUUCAGCAAGAACACCUUGGUAUUCUUCUUCUUCAUCAUAAUUCUCGCUAUCACUGUCACUUAUUCCAUCUUCUUUUGGAAUAGUAACGAUCACAUUCACAUGCAUAUAAAGAUUAUAAGGUUUAGGAUCUAAGGUUUCAGUGUCACUCAGCAUGUCACGUGCACACUGUAACACUUUUGCUACCACGUCACUGUGAGCAUUCCAAGGCACAUCCAUCUGGGAAAGCCAUGACAGGAUGGUUGUUUCUUGCAUCAUUUCAUCCUUUGGAAUGCUUGAAAACCUGUGGACCUCAACGUUGCAAAAUGUGUCGAAUUUACUUGCAUUCAACACGUGCAUGUUUGAGUACUCAAACUCUACGUUGAAGUGUAUAUUAUUGGAAGAAUCUGAGGGAGAAUCAGAGAAAGAUUCUACGUGUUGUUGAUGAUCAUUGGAAGAAUCUGAGGCAGAAUCAGAGGAAGAUCCUUGAGGGUAUGCACAACAGUGGAGUUCAUCCAUUGGAAGAGAAAGAUGAGAAAGAAGAAAGAGAAUUGUGGAAGAAGGAGGAGGAAUAUUAGAAAAUACUAGGGUUUUGGCAUUUUAAAGAGUUAGAGGAAAAGUAGGAAUCAAGUAAAAAUAUCUUGUUUUAAAUUUGAAAUCUUCUAUACUAUAACUUUUAUCUUCCAAUUUUUGUUUUUAUUUUUUCACCAUUUUUAAUUUUAAAAUAAUUUAUCAAUUUACUGAAUAUAUUGAAAUUGUUAAUAAAAAUGUUAUUUUCUGUUAUAACAAUGCAAAAAGAAAAUCCUAUAUACAUACAAAAAAAAAACAGUUGUAAAAAUUUAUGAAUAUAUAUAACAUGAAAAAAUAAGAAAUUUCACAUUUUUUCAUAAUAUUUAAAUUUUUAUUUUUGGUUCAUGAUAUUUACCGAUUUUAUAUUUGGUUUAUGAAAUUUAGUUAUUUAUAUUUCGUUUCAAUAAUUAUAUGUUGGUUAUUUAAAUGAUUUUGAAAUGUUUUCUUUAAAUUUUUAAUUUUGUAUCAUAAUAACUUAUAUAUGUUUUUUUUACAUAUAAUAGGAUGAUAUGUCGAUACAAUAUAAUGACACAAAAUAAAAUAAAUUUUCGUUCUAAAUAUGAAGAAAAAAGUAUUAAAUAGUAAACAUAAAAUUUGUAAAUAUUUUAUUACCAAAAUUAUAACUAAAUAUUUUAUAUUAUAUAUAGAUAUUACAAAAGAUACCCACAAAAUGAACAGAUUUUAAUUCAGAGUUUGUUAGAAUGAAGUUUUGUAUGUUCUAUAGAUAUAUAAGAUAAUGUAAUCCCGAUAAAAGUGUAUAUUUAAUAGGAUUGAAAUAUGAUUUUUUCCUAAGAUAAUUAAUGAUGGUGUGUAUAUAAAACCAAAUCUGUGUAAUUAUUUUUGUGUUGUUAAUUGUGAUUUGUUCAGUUUCAUAGAUUUAAUGUUUAUUUUUUCUUUACUUUUAAGAUAAAAAUCAUUUUCAAAAUAUAUAUUUUAUCUGUUUUUUAUAUAAAAAAAAUCUUCAUCUAAUCAAUAAUAAAAAAAAAGUUUUAAGUAAAGAUAUUUUUUUAAACCUAUUUUUGUUUGUUUAAUAAUAUUGUAUCCACACUGGUAAAACCAACAAAUAAUUGACCUAAAUUCUUCUUUAAAUAAGAUUUAAGUUUAAAUUUUUGAAUAAAAAAGUGUGCUUAAUUUUAAGAUGUUAAUUUUCCAAUAGUAAUUAACCAAUUAACAAAAAUUAAUAUAUUGUUUUAUAUACGUAAUAUCAUUAUAAAAAAAAGAAUAUUAAUAAAAUUUAUAUAAAAUGAAUAUUUAUUGAAUAUUAAUAAAAUGAAUGAAAAGCAGAGAACAUAAUUUUUAAAUAUAAAAAGAGAAUGAUAAUUAGUGACUUUGCUUUGUUAGCAUGAGAUAUAAAAAUGGAUCAAUAAAAUGUAAUUGUAUAUAAAAAAAAUGGUUUAAUCAUAUCAAAUUUAGUAAAAAAAAAAAAGAAUGACUAAUUUAAUGGGAUAUAUAAAGUAUUUGCUUGUUAACUCAUUUAAUUACUUGCUUCUUCCUGCACCUACAUAGCCACCCCAUAAUUUUUUUUAUUUCAAAAAUAUCCUUCUUUAAUAUUCUGGAUUACGUAAUCCAAAAGUCUUCGAAUUAUGUAAUCUAGAAACCUUUUGUGAUUAGCUUCUAGAUUACAUAAUCCGGAAGUCUUUUUUGUAUAUGAGAUUAGCUUCUGGAUUAUGUAAUCCGGAAACCUUUUUUUUCAGAUGCUUGAUUAGCUUCUGGAUUAUGUAAUCUAGAAGUAUUUUCUGGAUUAAGAUUGGCUUUCGGAUUACAUAAUCCGAAAGUCUUUUUUUAAAUGCGUGAUAGCUUCCAGGUUACAUAAUUCAUAGGUUUAUCUAAACUUUAAAAAAGACUUCCGUGUUUCAUAAAUCUAAAGAACAUUUUUGGAUCCAAAAACAUAUUCCGGAUUAUGCAUGGAGUGACACAAAACGGAUAAAAAAAGUAUUUUUACAUUUGAUAUGGGGUGACACAAGAAAGUAUGGAAGUAUGGGAAGAAGCAGUCUCAACUCUAUACUCCUGUUGAGAUUCCUCUUUCAUUUUGGGUCAUAUCAGGUCUUUUACAAUCUUAUUGCUGCUCUUAUUAUAACCUUCUUCUAGUUUUGUGCAAAGGGUCUUCUAUAAUAUAAUCUCAUUGCUUCUCUUGUUAUAACCUUCUUCUAGUUUUGUAUAAAGGGUCUUCCUGGGGUGUGUUCUUAUAGAAAACACUUUCACGCCUAAGUCAUUAUUUGGUUUUUUUAGUAGGUGUAAUGUAACUGAUAAAUGUUUAUAUAAACUCAUAUUUUCAAAGUUAUAUCUUUUGAAGUGCUAUGCUCAAUCAUAGUUAGUGAUUGGUAAGCUCUUCCUAACCUACUAAGGAUGAUAGUAAUGUACAAACUUUAGGAAUCUAAUAUAUUCUAUCAUAAUGUAUUUGUUCAAUGAAGACUCAAUUCAACCUUAAUCUUUUGUACAAUUAUACAGGUGGAAAUGGCAAGUCUAGUAACAGAUUGAAGCCAACACAAUCUUCAGAAUCCAAGUUUGGUUGGACUGCAAGGAAAUGCAAACCUCCACAAGCUUUCUUAGCAGCUUCCCAAGCUUCAGCUUCACUAGAUGUCUGGGGAGUUUUCUUAUAGGUGGAAAAUAUGUAUCGAGUAGAAAUUCCAACAGAAAGAAUCAGGCGAGCACGAGCAACAUCUGCUUCAAUAGAGCACACCUCCAAUCCACUUAAAACAGCUGUGCCAAUAAAUGGUAAAAGCUUUCCCAAUUUAGAGAACAAAUUUAUUUGAUGAAAGAUGUUUGCAAUCAUACAAAAGCAUGCUAUUAUUGAUGAGCACAUCACAAGCAUUAUACAAAAGCUUUUCAGAACCAGACAGCAAAAAGAAAAAUAGUACAAAAGAAACCAGGUUUUAGGUCUCAAAAUAAUCACCUGGUGAGCCAAGUUGGCAUUCUGCUAUCCAUUAAUUUAAGAAUAUCAGCAGAGUUAACAUUCAAGAUAUAGGAAAUCUUACACACUACUAUUUAGAUAAAAAAAAUUCAUAAAUAUUAACAUUCUGAACUCAAAUAUAAGUAAAAUAUUUUCAUGUACAAUGAACCAAAAUAUGAGCAAAUUCUAAGUAAUUCCACCCUAUUCAACAAUAUCAUCUCUGAAAUAACCUUCAUUUAACUGAAAAUCUAUUUUGAAUAACUUUUAUUCAUGAUAUCAAGUUCCAAACAAAUUAUAUAAAAAAAAUGAUAAUCUUUGAAUGAGAUUAGCAAAAUAAAUGAUGUUAACUAACUUUCUAAAUUAGUGGAUAAGUUUCAUAGUUUUGCUUAUGGGAUUACUUAUAUAAAAGAAAAUAGAAACUAAAAUGAAUAAAAUUUCUUCUGUUACAUUAGCUUUUGGAGAAGCUAGAUAAGAGGAGAGGGCUUCUAAUAAAGUAGAAGUGCAAGAGUUAAUUUAACAUACAAGGAAAGCUUGAUUAACUUUAUCUUUUUAUUUUCUUUUAUAAAGCAUUUAUGGAGAAAUUUAUUUAAACACAACAACUCUAAUGCUGUUUUGCAAUAUAUGUGGCUAGCAUAUCAAAUUGUUUGAUAUGAGAUAAAACACAUUCUGACCAUCUAUUUAAAUAAUUGAUUCCAAGCAUACAAAGAAGAAAAUGUGAAAUCUGCCAAUGAGUUUGGAAUGAGUUAUCAAACACAUUCUUUCUGACACAUAAGAUGAAAUACAUUAGAAGAAAAUGUGAAAUCUGCAGUUUUGUACCUGCCAAUGCUGUAGCACUAGAAGAUGCAACAGCCAGUCCUGGGAUUAAUGUCUUGUCAUCAAUUUCAAGACCCAACAAAUCAAGAUCUAGCCCAGAACCACAAAAUCCUCUCUCAAAUGUCAACACCUCGUCUCGAACAGCUUUAAAACAGGUUACUCAAGGUUAGAGAGGUAGAAUAUCCUAGAAAAAUGAUUUAAAGCAUUAAACUUGUUAAUCAUUUUGUGUAAAAAGAAUAAGAAAAGAGACCAUUAUAACCCAUGUAAUGUUGGAAGUGUAGUUAAAGUUUAAAAUAGUAUUAACAAGUGAAAAACAUAUGUUUGAGACCCCUGAGUAUCAAAAUAGAGGGCCAUCAGUUGUCAAGCAAUUGUGAAACUUAUUGCAUGAAAUCUUCUGUCUCUAUACCUGAGUAAGGUAAUUGGACAAAAGUCCAUCUUUGCCCAUAAAGAAUGUCUGGAAGUUCAGUGGGAAAAGGAUUAUCAAGUGCCAAAAGAGGUUUGGAUCCUUCUUGAAAUCCAGGAUGCCUCUUAUAUAUGGUCUCAUAGCGCUCCUCUAGCCAUAGAAUAAUUGACACACACUGAAAAGAAUCAGAUGAACCACAUAAAAUAUAGCCGGUUCACCACUGACAAAAAUAUAUAAACUCAGUGAAUCUUUACAAAUAAAUUAUGCUAAAUAUACCAUGAAAUUUCUCUGUCCUCAUUUUAUAUAACAGGCGUUUCAACCUACAUAUGGCAUGGGGUGCUAUUGAUAUUGGAAAACUUGUACACAGACCAUACUGGGCUAUUUUGAACCAUUUUCAAUCACAAAACCAUCAUGAACCAUUUUAGAGACACUGCAAUUCUUUUCCAUCCAAUGAAUCUCCAAGAUCAAUUUUUCCUCCCCUCCAAUUGCACAGUAAAAAUAUCCAAACAAUUAGAUAAUAACUUUAUUCCCCUCCAUUCCAUUCCACUCACCAUUAGAUUUCCAACUAUAUAGCAAACACUAACAACUACCUCCUCCUCCCUCUAAUGAGUUGAUUAGAGAACAUAGUCACAUUCCAUGAUAUGAAACCUACUAUCAACUUCUUCAACUAACAGACAAGUUAAGGUCAUACAUAUAUAUAAGAGUCUGCAGGUUCAUUGCCAAAUAGUCUCAUUAAUCAAACCAACCCAAGUCAAAAUCCAAAGCAAAGAAAUUUCAUUCAUUGCCACCACCACAGUAAAAGUUGAAUUUCAUACCAUACAUACAAAAAAAAAAACUAUUGUAUGGUCAGUGACCACCACAUAUGACUCGUAACAAAAUCUUUCAAUUUAAAAAAAAAAACUAAUAAAACAUGACUCCAUGUCUUGUAAAGAAGAUUAGGCAAGAUCAUGAACAUGGUCUAAAACACAUAAGGUAAAUCUUCAUAAAUACCCGUUUACUAGGAACAGGCCUUAUCCGAAGCUCAUUACAUGCAUUUGUAAUAAUUGUCUGCAUCUGUGACCUGCAAAGCAACAAACACUUAUGAUUGGAGAAACAUCUUCAUUCAUAUAGACUUGUAUAUAGAAAAAUAAGAAAAAAAAAUGAAAUCAGUUUCUUGGUAAAUUAAAACUACAUUAUACAUGAGUUAAUUUGUAGAACUCAUUUCCCAUCAACUUCUCUAAAAUCUGAUUUUUUACAUUCAUGUAUAAGCUAAUUUUAGCUUACUUAGAAACUAGUUUCACUUUUCCUAUUUUUCCUACAAGCAAACAGACCCUACCAAUACAGCACCACACACUCAUGAAUUACCUAAAGAAGCGAAUGUUUCUGGGCAACGGAACACCCAAUUCAUCACUGACAGCAACAAUACCAUCCUUCAAGGUAACGCUGUUAAUGACAUUGUUUGGGAAAUAUUUGGUGUACUGCAACGACAGCGUUUUGUCGCACACAACGAGCUCCCAAAUCUUCUUCCCUCUGGCGUCGAGAAUGGGCCUGGAGCAGAAGUCAAGUUCCCAAUCUGUUAUGGUGGCAGGGUCGGUUUCUGGGUCAAGGUAUCUGAGUUCCGCAGUUGGGUCAUCUUCUUCUUGGAGAAGUGCUUGGGGUGCUUCUUUCUGGGUGCUCUCCGACACCGAAUGGGUUCGAAAGUUGAUGACUUUGGGGUGGCUGUGGAAGGGAAGAGUGGUGCAUGGGAUCGUGAUGGGUUUGGAUGCAGAGGUGAGUUUGGAGAGUUUGAAAGUUGGGGUUCUUAUUCUUGUGGGGUUGAAGCUCAGAGUAGCCAUGGCUGUUUCAGACAGAGCUUUGUGUGUGGUUGUUAAGGUAGUUAUCCUGCCACAUGUUUUCCUUAAACCAACCAUGAUGUUGUUAUUCGGGUACUGUGGGCCUUCGGGUACUAUGGGCCUUCGGGUACUAUUGGCCUUUGGGUAAUGGCUCAUUCAUUUCUGGUCUGGAUUUUUCUUUUAGCACCCCCCUAAAAUUCUUGGCAUCUCCUCAUCAUUCCUGGUUUUUCAUCAUGUAUUUGUUAUAUUUUGAAAUUUUCAUUCUCGAGUAAACAAGAGAUACUCAACGAUUUUAUUUUUCUUUCUAUACUCUUAUAUUAUUUCUCCAUGCACCUCAUGUAGACAUAUGCGCACUUUCCUAACAUUGGUAUAAGGGAUAUGGACUUGAGUUAUGUUGAGGAGUCAUCACAUUCUUAUAGAUAUGUAGUAUGAAUAUUAUUUGCAAUUGCAACAAUCUAAUUCUAUAUGGAUAACAUGACAUUUACCAGGGUCAAAUGAAGGUUAUAUAAGGAUCAUCAAAUAAUUAGUCAAUUGGAGAUGCGUAAACAUCUACAUUUGUCAAAAGAUGAUUCUUCAACAUCAUGGAUAUGUCAAAGUAUACAUUGUCACCUUAUCUGCAUCAACUACUUUACCACCUUCAAUAUAAAAGUUAAAAGUUUGAUUGCUUCACUUUUGAGACCAUUUGGUCAUGGAGGUUAAUUAAACCACUCAUCCAUCAGAUUGCAUGAUCAGUUAUAUGGAGUGAUUCUAUGUGAUUUUGAAUUCUAUAGUCUAGAUUCCAAACCACCACCCCCUAGGAGGAAUGUUGUCAUGUGGUUAAUGAUGAAGACCUACAAGUUCAUCAUGAUGUUGUGGUAAGUAGAUUUGAUCAAGCACAUUUUCCUUUUUAAAAAGGCUUUUGAAUAUUUUAAUUAUUUCAAGGAAUGUGUUGAAAAAUGAUAUUGAUAUUACAUAAGAUGAUUGAUUUGGGUCACAUGAUUAAGAGAAUUCCGACAUGGGAUAUGACUCAUACAACUCUACAAUUUACACAUGAAAUAAUAAGAGAGUUGUGUACACUCGAAGGUUAUAUGUGAGACAUAAAAGUGAUGAUUGACUGACAUGAAUGAUGUAGUUGUUAUUAGUUUUUUUAUAACAUUUAUGUAAUAAUGUUAGCUCUGAGACAAUCACAUCAACAAUCACAAUUAAUAACAAUAUAUACUUAUUAGUUUUAUAUGUAUUAUGUAUCAAUAAUACUAUGUUAAAUGCAUUGAAUAAUUUCAUUGGAUUAAAGUGUUUACAAAAAGUAUUUGCAACUUUUUAACUAUUAUUACUAAUUAAUAAUUAAUUAUGGAUAACUAAUAGCUAUUUCAUGAUGUAACCAAAGCGAUUUAUUAUCUUUCAAGUUAACUAUUAUGAAAUUGACGACAUUGGUGCACUAUUAUUGAAUAAUCCAAUUCAAAAUUAUGUCCCAAAUUCUUCUAUUAGGAAUACAUUUUCAUUUCUAUAGAUAAUAGAUUGUACACUAAAUUCAAUAAUUAUAUAGAUUUUAGUAUUCGAAUACCAUACUCUUGGACAUCGUAAUCCAUAAAAGCUUACUAAUAUUGUUAUAAUGAUGGCUCAAACAUUAACAAAAGAAAGAGCACCAAAAAUUGUAUGAGAUGUAAGAAAAAACAUCAUUUAUAUCCAAACCAUUGUUACAUCUUAUUUUGUUAUUAACAUCUCAUUCUUUAGUUUAAUUUAUUUUUAAUGAACUGAAAAACAUAUUUUCAUCUUAAAUUGACUCAUGUGUUCCAUUACAAAAGAAAAAAAAAACAUCUUUGUUUUUAUAUUUAGUCAUAUAUAAAAAAAAUGUUUUUUAAUGGAAAAAGAUUUGUAUGAUAAUUCAGGAUAAACUUGAAAAUGUCAAAUAAACUUCUCCAUAUACUAAAACUAAUUUAUGUACAAAUUAAUUUAUAAAAAAAUUGUUCCUCUAAUUCUUUAUUUCUUAAUUAAUGUUUAUAGUGAUAUAAUUAUAUAAUAGAAGCAUAAUAAAUAAAAAAAUUAUAAACCAUUUUAAUUUUUUAUUAAUUAUUGCAAGUAUAUAGUAAAAGUACUUUCAAUUUUUAUUGUUAGUUUUUCUUAGACGAAGAAAAUUAAAAGAUUGAUUAAUAAAUAUAAGAACUGAAAAGAUAAAAAAGCUAAAAGAAUAUACAUCAAAUAACAAUUAUAAAAUAUAAUCUGUAUUAUUAUGGUUAUAAAUAAAUUUUAAAUUACGUAUUAUAAGAAUAUAUUUAUUUUGAAAUAUUAAAUAAAUAUUCCUAAUUAUAUUUUUUUGAGUUUUUAUUAUUAUUAUUUCGGAGUCAAUACCUUUAAUAUAUGAAUUGUUUUUAUACGGUUAUAUUUUUAAUAGAUUUUUUAUCAUAAAAAAUAUUUUAUUAAGUUUUCAAAAUAUUUUUAUUUUUAUUUAAAUAGUUUGAGAAGAAGACUAUAGAAAAAGAUAAGAAUUACCUAAUCUUGUUAAGGACAAAGUAAAAUUACAAAAUACUUAUAUAAAAAAUAUUUUAAAUAUUCAUAGAAAUUUUUCAGAGAGACUCAGUUAAAAAUAAAGAAAAGAUUAUAACUUAAUUAAUCUAUUGAAAUUUUGGGGGUGUACCAAGCAAUUUUGUGUGUCUGAAGACCUUCAAGCAUGAAAGGGUAAAAUUGGGGCACAGCAAAAGAGCUUUGGGAUUUCCAAUUGUUUCGGAGAAUAGAGAGUAAUUUGCCUCCGGAUUCUGCUACGGUCGCUGCCACCAUUUUUCGUCCUUAUUCCACAGGUAAUAAACCCUUAUGUGCUUCCCUUAAAACCCUCAAUUUCACAUUCAGAAGAAAACCUUUCUUUUGGUCCAAAAGCGCUUUCGGUUGAUUCUGAAUUGUUACCAUAAUAGUUUAUUCGCAGUGUUCCGUUUUUAAUUUACUAGAAAUUCUAUUAUGUUCCAUGAUUUAAAAAAAAAAAGAUUUUUUUUUACCGAAGUUCUUAUUGUUCUGCGCUAUGUAGCAAAGACACAGAUACAAACACUGAGACAUGACAUGGAUACGAAAACGAUACGUAUAAUCUCUAAAAUAUAGUACAAGGACACGAAUCUAUAUAUUAUAUAAUUUUGAAUUAUAUAAAUUGAAAAUAAAUAUUUAUGUGCAAAAAUAUGUUUGAGAUUCUUUUGGAGCAUGAAGAUAUUUUUUAUGACCGGUUCAAAAGGAUUUGUUCCUUAUUUUUAUAAUCAUAAUAAAAAUUUAUACAAUAAAUUUGAGUUUUUAGAAAAUUAUUGUAUUGAUACCUUUUAAAAUUGUGUUAGAACCGUACUAGAAUUUUAAAAAAUCCAAUAAAUAUUUUUUGAAUUGAACACUUCACUGAUAAGUGUCAUACCGAUACGUGUGUCCGACACAACACGGAUCCGCCAUUUAAGAGAAGUGGCUGAGUCUCAUAGGUUGUGGGUGAUAAUAUCAUUGAGUAAAAACUACCAUUUUAAUUUGUUCAGAUAUAAGUUUUAAUAUAUAGUUGCAUAUAAUUUGUUAUAUCAUUGUGGGGGUAAAUCACAGAGGAAUUUGUGCUGAUUCGGGUUGUUUUCUGCUUUUGCUCAGAAGGAAGAAUCACUUGGAACAGCGUGAUGGUUGCAAACGACUAUUUUCCUCCUUUGUUUAGGUGGGUGGUUGUGUAUCUCUGCUUUCUGCAUAUGCUAUGGUUAUAUUUUAUCAAUCUGAUUUUGUUGAUCGCUUGGAUUUUCAGUGUGGCCCCAAUGAUGGAGUGUACAGAUCAUCACUAUAGGACUCUUGCACGUCUCUUGUCAAAGCACACUUGGCUCUACACGGAGAUGCUUGCUGCCGAAACAAUUGUUUAUCAAAAGGGAAAUCUGGUAAGUUUGUAAACAUAUUUCUGCUUGUUGAAAGAAAAGGGUUAAAAAAACUUGGAGGAAUGACUAUGAAUAACAAUUUUCAUGGUUGCAAUUUGUCAAGGACUGGUUCUGCUAAAACCGGAAGCUGCUAGCUAGAAUGUUAUUUAAGCUUACAGCUCAUCCUAUACAAUUAUUAAGUUGUAUUGAGGGAGUGAAGAAGGGUUUUAUAUUUUGUGUAGUGUAGUAGUGUAUUGUAAUACUUUAAAAUCAAUAUGACUUCACACACACUUACCCACUCACUCUCAACUUCUUGAUAUGGCUCACACACGAUGCACACUCACUUUCAACUUCUUGAUAUGGCUCACACACGAUGCACACUCACUUUCAACUUCUGAUAGAAGAUUGUGGAGGAUACAGAAAACUAGAGAACUUCUCAUCAUUCUCCAAAAAACAAAACCAAAGAACCUAUAUAUAAUUCCAGCUUUCAACAAAAAACUGUUUUGCUAAGCCAGAAUUAGCUAAGCAACAAAAUUUAGAAUUCUGUUUAGAAACUAUUAUUACAUGGAUAUACCUACCAUUGUAUAUCUAUAUCAUGCUGACGUCAGUCAAAAACAUCAGUGAUUAUGCACAGUAUUAUGUGGAUAUAUUCUGGUCCAGUUCUAGUCUGUCUUACCUAUUUAUGUCAUCAUAGAUCUAGCACACUUUUCAUGAAAGAAUCCUUUAGGUUUGAAGUUUGGAUAAUUCAUAGUCCAGUUAUGUCAUAUGCUGAAGCCUCCUAGAAGUUUAAACUGAUAAGUAGAGACUAUAGCUUUAUAUUUCUAACACAAAUAAUACUGUGCUCAUAGAUAUCUGUGGUAAAAUAUGUUGCAUAACUAGUCACUGCUGAGGUUUUUUUAUUUUUUUAUUUUAUUUUGAAGUUUUUUAGAUCUAUAGGGAUGUUUCUGUUAGUCUUAUUUAGUUCUAUAUCUUUGGAUCUAUGUGCUGUUGUUUCAUAUUAUUUAAAAAGGUUGAGUGAAACAAUCUCUCUUUACUUCAUUAAAUUCAAAGUGCAGUUUUUGAAUGAGAAACAAGGUGUUCUUCCCCUUUGGGUUUAUGUAUUUCUGUUAGUUAUCUCAUUGCUGUAGGUAUAUCUGUGUGUGCACAAAAGCACAAAUUGAUGGGGUGGGGCCAUUUCUGGAUAAUUUGUCCCUGAAAAACUAUUGAUUCUUCUUGUCAAUUUUGCUCAGGACAGAUUCUUGGCAUAUUCUCCAGAUCAACAUCCUAUUGUGCUUCAAAUUGGUGGAAGUAAUUUAGAUAAUUUGGCAAAAGCAGCUGAACUGGCAAAUGCUUAUUGCUACGAUGAGAUCAACUUCAAGUUUGUUUAUUUUCUUAUCACCUUAAUUCAUAAUGUUUCAUUUUUAUAUUAAUAUCUCUUAGAUCCAUUAUUUAUUUUUGACAUAUACCAGCUGUGGAUGCCCAAGUCCUAGAGUAGCUGGACGUGGAUGCUUUGGUGUACGUCUUAUGCUUGAUCCAAAGGUUAGAACAUCACCCAUACUUGAUAUGCAAACAGAUUGAAUGUGUAGACUUUCUUGAUCGAUAUGCACUGAUGUAGGACUCUAAUGUUUACAAGGAAAGUUUGUUGCAGAGGCUAUUUCAUUAAUUGCUGCCAAUACAAAUGUACCUGUUACUGUCAAAUGUCGAAUUGGUGUGGAUGAUCAUGAUUCCUACAAUGAAUUGUGUAAGGUCCUUUUUCAGCAACGUUCUUUGUCUUUUCACAUUUAAAAGAUGUAAAAUUCUUUUGUAUUAUGUUCAUACCUGAGUAGGAAGCUUGUAGCAUUUAAAGGUCAAGGCACACCACAAGCCUUGGCCAUAGGGUUUGUAGUUGUAUUUUCAAAUGACCCACCACUACCAAUAGGAAGCACUGAUGCAAAUCAUAUCCAAGACCUUUUAGUGAAAUUUAGUAAAAUUCUCCUUCUGCCAUGAUCCUGUAGUCACCCAGCAUCUUCUUUUCUUGUCAAGCAUAUUUGAUCUGGAUUCUAUUUCUCAUCAUACUUUAAGAUGAUCUUUGAUUUUCUCCUGUAAUUCUGCCCAGGAAAGGCUUUUUGAGCCCUCCUUUGUUUCUAAAAUUAACAUUGAGCUAGCUGUUUUCAUCAUUCCGCCUUCCAUUAGCUGGUUAGUCUGCACAGGUAGGAUACACCCAUCUCCAUAUGCAGCUGCUUUGGAAGAUGGAUGGAUAACUCCUUUAUGUUACCCCACCAUCACUUUCUGAGCAAUCCCUUCCUUUUUUUAAGGAUGGAUGAUUCUUAUUGAUUUAGUUAGUGAGUGCGUCACCAUCGGUAAUCUUUCCCCAUCACACUCCCCCUUGAGCUUGAAAUAACACUCCACUCUGUUCACCCAUCCACAAGUGUUCUCUUCAGUAAAGGGGGGGCAGAGAGGGGGAGGCGGUGUUUGUGAACAGAGUUCCCACCAUUGGAAACAAGAGUUCUUGACCAUCCGUUUCUACCAUCACCUUUGGUAAUCUUUCCUCAUCCCCUUGAGCUUGAAAUAACACUCCACUCUGUUGACCCACCCACAAGUGUCUUCUUCAGUAAAUAGGGAGUGUUGAGCUUCUUCCAAAAAUCUUUUCUCGCAUCUAACCUUAGAUCCAGUUUUGACACAUCACCUAUAUUGAUCCUUAUCCAUUCCCUCCAUUCAUCACUUUGCUUCUAUUUGAUGUUAGUGUAGUUUCCUUGUCAUGACCGAUACUUAGACCAUGAUCCGUGCACAGACUAUGGCUUACUUAUCUUGGCCAGCCUUCUAGUAGUACAAUAUACUGAAAUCACCCAACAAAAUACUCUCCAUCCAAGCUAUGCAGGCCUACCAAAAAGACGAGCAAAUUCUUUGUUAGAGGACCAAUCUCAGGAAGUCUGGUACUAAAUCACAUGUGGAUAUGGGAGGAAAAGGGGAAGAAUGAGAUGAUUAACAGAGACUUAGUGAGAGCAUAAUAAACAAAAUGGUCAGGAAUGAAAAAGCAGAUAUAACAUGAGUUUUAUUGUUUAAGAUAAUACUUAAGAAAAAUUGAAAUGUAACAUGACCCACUUUGUGAAAAUUCAUUACAAAAGUAAUUAACAUCAUAAUCAAGAACUAUAAAUUUUCCAUGAACCUUCAUCUCACUAUGUACAAAUAGGCCACUAUUGUGGCAAACAAUAUUUAGAGGACUAAAGACACUAAGUUCGUAUGCUGCAAACGAUACUGGUAAGAACUUUGAUUGUAACAAACUAAUAGUUUAUUUGUAUUAGAAUGUGAGUUUAAGCGUAACUCAAUUCUAUAAAACUAACUUGUAACAUGAGGUCUACAUAUAGUUUAUAAACUCUAUUUUAGUCAUAUCACUAGUUGAUGUAGGAUCUUUAACACACUCUUACUCCGAGUACUAAGAAUAUUAAGCGUGGUGGUACCAUGAUCCAACAAACCAGGUUAGGAUAGAUUUUGAUAUCAUUUUAAAAAGUGAGUUUGGACCUUAAACUAGUUUUGUAAGAUGAAGGUUGCAUCUCACUUAUUUGCUGUAUUUUAGGCAUAUUUGUAGGCGAUGUGGGUUCUCCUAUUGUUUGUAUCGUGUUUGUUAUGUGUACUUGUCAAGAAGAUACACAUGACUUCAGCUCGAGCGUUUUACUUCCAAAUCUGUUUAUCAGAGAGAAAUCUGUUAAGAUUUGUCAUAUUACUUUAUGUUUUGCUAUUUUUUUAUAACAAGGAAGCCCCAAUUAGAAUCCCAGGGUUGAAUGGUUGUUGUUAUACUUUUAAUUUGUGUUUUUAGUUUGAUUGCUGGUCGGUAAGAUGGUCACAUUUUGUGAAACAAUUGUCCUAAAAGCAAAUUGUUACUGAUGUGAUUUAUAAGCCAUAAUUUUAUAUUAGGUCACAAUUUCUUUAGAAUAAUCGUGCAUUUGUUGUUGUGCUUACAUAUUACCUUUAUACCAUCACUUUUGUUGUCUUUCAGGUGAUUUCAUUUACAAGGUUUCUUCCCUAUCACCUGCUAAGCAUUUCGUAAUUCACUCAAGGAAGGCACUGCUUAAGGGCCUUAGCCCAUCUGAAAAUCGGAGUAUUCCUCCACUGAAGUAUGUGCCAGACUACUGAAAGAUUUGAUUUUUUAUAGUCAUUUAAUAUAGAAUUGGAGAUGAUAAACACAUUUUAAUGCAGGUAUGAAUACUUUUAUGGCCUCAUACGGGACUUUCCUGACUUAACAUUUACAAUCAAUGGUGGUAUUACUAGUAUUGAUGAGGUCAGUUGUUAUCCAAUUGUUAAUUCUAUUUCAUUGGGAGUUGGUAUUCAUUAUAGAGAAAUUUUCUGCUAUAAAAUUAAUUUCGUACACUUCUAUGAUCAUUCAAAAUACAUCACCGUAUUUAAAGUUCACAUUUUUAUGAACAAUGUACAUUGUGCACAAAUUUCCCAAAAUUGUAUAGCACCGACACACACAUAUUGUUGGGCAUGCCUUUGAUAUGCAAACAAGUCACUGGUAUCAUGCAAUAUUUAUAGACACAUUGAUAGAGUUCAAGUAUGUAUUGAUAGCUUUUCACAUAUUGAAGUGUUUAAGAACACAAUUUCAAGUAUGAAUCUAGUCUUUACUUAUUGUGAAUAUGAAAUCACAAGAAGUUUGAAUCAAUGAUUCUACUCAACAUAGAAUAACAUGAAAGAAAUAAAAACAUAAUAAGGAUGUAAGAAUAAUUAGAAAUGGAAUUUAAAGACAUGACCAAAUAGAAUACAGGAGUAGGCAUGACAUAUAUCAAGAACAAGAUAGGAACAUGAAGUAUAGACAAAAUAAAAGGGGAAAAUGUAGAAAGGACUUAGGAGAUGGAAGAAGGUAGGCACGCCACUUGAGGUUGAAGAAGCAUCUCCAUCUUCAAGAUAAAAGCACCAAGGAAGAAUCAUCACUUGACUCCUAAAAGUUACCAUAAGACUCCAAGGCAGAACAUCAUUCUCACAAGUGUCUCAAAAACUCACAAAUUUCAUAUAUGGUUCAAAAUUUAUUUACAAAGAGUGGGAGUGAGUGGCUAUAUAUAGCUACUUAAGCCAAGCUUGGCCAAAAAUUAUAAAGGGAAAAGAGAGGGAAAUUUCAAAAAUUAAAAUUAAAAUUUUAAAUUCCUAUAUCUAGAUUAAGGGUCAAGAUCAUCUCCAUGCUUGUAUCACAUUCUCCACACCUGUGUCACACUUUCUAUGCUUGCUUCACAUUGACCUUACCUUGUCUAGUCUUUGGCCAAGCUUCACAUGGGCUUGAGUGGUUACCUUGCCACAUGCUUCUUGCUUCCUUGCACUCCUUUGGCUGCAUCCAGUAGCUCCUUUUUGGGCUUGAUAGGACCAAAUAAAAGCUAAGUUAAAAUUUCUAUUUGCACCUAUUUCUUGAAAGAAAAAUAAAAGGAUAAAUAGUACAAUUUAUGAGUGUAACAAACUACAAAAUUAUUUUUGUGAGCAGUUACAUCUUCUCUUGUCAUGCUUCUAGUUAUCCUCUUUGGAAUGAUGUGUUUAGGGUCAUCUCUUGAUUACACACUGCCUCCCUGUCUGUGUAUGUACCUUGGAUGCCUCUUGUGACCUCUGUACACAUGCCCAAAUAACUUUAAUUGGUUUUCUGUCAUCUUUUCCUUAGUUGGUGCUACAGGCAUGAGAAUUAAACAUUUCAUAUCUUGUUCUCUCUUCUGUGGCUUACAUCCAUCUGAACAUACUCAUUUUUACUACUCCCAUCUUUCUCUCAUGUUCGCCUUUUAAAGUUUAACAAUCAGUAGUACCAUAUAUUAUAGUCAUACGUAUAAAAUUAUGAUAAAACUUGCUGUUGAGUUGAAAGGUCCUUUGUGAUCACAAAAAAUUCCUUGAUUUGAUUUUGUUCCUUGAUAUAGUAUAUGCAUAAUUAAUUGUAUUUUUUUCUUGGUUUGAUUUUGUUCUACAAUGGUGACUAUCUUGUAUAAAUUCAGUGCUAUACCUUCUUGAAUUCUACUUGUGGUCUGCUGCUAUUAGUAUAAGGCCAUCGGAAACCAUGUUGAAGUCUCUUUAAAUUCAACAUAAAAGUCAAUGUACAAAAGUCAAUAUUAUAUUGUUCAAGCUAUCAUUUGCCUUCUUAUGGGUUUGGUCUGGAUUUUUUGUGCUAAAAUUCUUGUAACUGGAUUUGUAUAGUUUUGAUAUGUCUGAUGUUUAAGCUACAAAAUAAUUUCUUUCCUCCUUUCCGGUUUUUGAGAUGGUCAAGUGUGGUCGUGAAUGUAAUAAAUCUAUUGGCAUUUUGUAGCUUUGAAAUUGUUCUUAUUAUAAGGUGCUUAAUUUCUCAUGCUUCUGUUUGUGAAAUUCAACUGUAGGUCAAUGGAGCUCUAAAGGCUGGGGCCCAUGGUGUUAUGGUUGGACGUGCAGCAUACCAUAAGUAAGUGUCAAAUACAAAAUUCUCCGUCUCUUGCCCCUUUUGCAUGAGUGAAGUCUCAAAUGCUUUCAAACGUCAGUAGUCUUUUAUUGAAUAAAAGGGGAAUAAGUUUAUCCCUCGACUAACUCCUAAAAAAAUAGCCAAUGUGACUUCAGAAAGAAAAAUGUAGAUUAUCUAUUUUAGAACCAAAGCUUGGCAAAUAGUCGAAGUCAUUUUCACCUUAAAUGUUUCCUGGAAUAUCCCUUUAUUUUAGUAGGACUGGAAGUUUUCUUCACGAAGAACAACCUGUGAUUUUUGAAAGUUAUAUAAAUUUAAAACUGUUCUUACAAAUUUCAUUUAAGUUGAUGCAAUUGUGCUGUUGCUAGAUAGAUUUCCCAACUGAUAGAUACAUGUUCAGAAAGCAGGCAAUUAACAGAAAGAAAAAGAGGAAAUUUUGUUGAAUAUAUGGAACAGUGAAACCUAAAGAGAAAAACAAGAAUGGCUUACUAUAGAAGUUCCUAGGAAUAUGCAAACCUAGUCUAUUUAUUGACACUUAUUGUAUGCUGCACAGCCAAUGAUAACACUGUGAGCCCCGGACAUUAGAGCUCCAUUGACCUAUGGUUGAAUUCCACAAACCAAGCAUGUUAUAUAGCUACCCGACCAACUAACCUACUAAUUGACAAUCCAGCUGUCAGACCAACAACAACUGUGUAACCAGAAAAAUUGCUGUUAUUUGUUAAUGGCCGCUUCAAGCCCCAUUGUUAUCAGUGGAGAUUUAGUUGUAAUGAAGUAUGGGGGAGUGACAGGAAUACCUCUUUUGAGGAGUUGUGCAGUUCUGUUAUCAUGUCAAGAACCACUUAUCCUAAUUUCUAAAUUAGGUUGACACCUAGAAAUGAUUAUUUCUCUAAUAAUGUCUUUUCUAUUUGAAUUUUCAUAAAGCAGCUUAUAUAAAUAGAUACUUUGUUGCUUGAAUAACCAUUGUUAAUAAUUUCAACAGCCCUUGGCAUAUUUUGGGACAUGUUGAUACUGCAAUUUAUGGUGCACCGGGUAGUGAUCUUACACGUCGUCAGGUCCAGUCACUGAAAUUUUUGCAUUAAAAUGGAUUGAGCUGAUAUUUUACUAACAUCACUACUGAAACAAUUUGAGCAUACUGAUUUUUGUUUUAAUUCUUUUUCCUUAUUUCAUAAAGGUUCUCGAGAAAUAUCAAGUAUAUGGGGAUUCGGUAGUACGACAAUAUGGACUUGGCCCAACUGUGAGAGAUAUUGUGAAGGUGGUAACAGACAAAUAACCCAUUAGUUGAUUUGCAUUCUUAUAAAAUUUCCAAUAUUAAGGAGAGUUCCUCUAUAGUGUUAUAUAAACUUAUUUAACAUAGGGGCAUAAUAAAACCAUAUUCUUUUAUAUAUAUACAGACAUGCAAUGUAACUGUAGUUAUGCCCACAUUUGUUUUUCUGUUUUUGAUUUCUUAUUAUGGUUUAUAGCUCUGACUCAGUUAUGGGUUCUGUUUUAUAUUGGGAUUUGGGAGUUAAAAGACUGGACCUUUCCUUAACUUCUUCCUCCUCCCAUUCAUUUGCAUGAAGCGAGUUGUUUAUCUAUCGAUGGUAUUUUAUUUUCUACCUUCACUUAUAAUUUGCUGUUACCGUAUAAAUGACAUGUUUGCUGCAGCCUUUACUUGGCUAUUUCCAUUCCGAGCCUGGGAAUGGACUUUGGAAGCGCAAAGCAGAUUCAGCUGUCCAAACUUGCACGGUAUAUUUACUAUGAAAAACCUAUUAUUUGAGUGCUUAGACAAUAUUUCACUUUGUAUUUAUAUGAAGUUGUCAAUGUCCAGGACAAACAAACUUCAAUCAUCAAGCAAAUCUUACAUUUUCUUCUGAAUUUACUUUUAUUUUCCCUGCUUUCCAUUCAUGGAUGGAAAAGAUGCUGUCAUGUGUUAAUGACCUUAAAAAAAUAUAAUUUAGGAAGUAACUAGGUAGCUCAUAGGUCAUGUCUAUAUGCAUGAUUCAACAAAGUUGUUAAAGGAUUUGCAUCUGUAAUGGAUGUAUUCUUGUCAGUGUCUGGAUGUAUUGGUAGUAACAUAGAUAGCUUCUUCUUCCUUUUAUGCCAUCUCACUAGUAUAUCUUGUUGCAUAAUGUUAAAUCAUCUCUCUCCUUUGUAUACAGUAACUGUCAUUUUACACUUCAGUCAUUGCAUUGCUUCAAACACUAACUUUUUUUAACCAUGCAGACAAUUAAAUCAUUUUUUGAAGAAACCCUUGUAGCAAUUCCUGACUCAGUCUUGGAUUCACCUGUUGCGGAACCACAAUAUGGUCGUGGAGAUCUUUUUGCUAACAUACACAACUUGCUACCUCCACCAUACAGAACAAGAGAAGAGAAUGCCAUUUAAAUCGCUCUGUUAUCUAUUGUAGGCAACUGAUUCAGAUGUAACCUAUUGGAUGAAGAAAUUUGAAGUAAAAGUUAGGGGACUGCAAUUCUUUGUGACUUGAUCUUUUACUAAUGAUUUUGAUCAUAUUUGAAAUGUGUUGGCAUCACUUUUGAUGAAUGUUGGGUAGUUCAUAUUGCCCAUAUUAUUUAGGUAAGACCAACAUGGCAUUAUUUUAGAAAAAAAAAAGGACUUGGAAAUGUUCUGCAAUUCUCAUUUUUCUGAUCCUUCUGAUUAGCAUUUCAUGCAGCAGCCCUGGACUUCUAGGGCAAUAAAUUUGUCAUCAUGAAUGAGAUAAGAUAUUUAUUGUCAAUAAAUCGAUCUGCAACCCCAUUCGAUGAAGAAAUUUGCAGUCAAUGAAGAUGAAAGGAAAUUGAAAGUUUUUGGAUGUUCAAAAGCACUUUUCUACUCCAUUAAACUGUUAAUUUUCAAAAAAACGUGGCACUAUUCAUAUACGAUAUAAUAGUGCAUAUAUUUGAUAUGACAAAUACAAGUGGAUCAAAACAGAUCCGGAUGAAAUCUAUAGAAAUUAGGAUAAAAUCCAAAUUCUUCCUCCCCCUCCAUUGUGAAUGUAUUUGAUAUAACAACCAACGUGAAAGAGGUUUUCUUUUUUUAUUAUUAUAACAUCCCAUAUUGAACAAUCCGUUAUAUAUAAGUAGAUCUAGGAUUAUGUAUCAUCGGAUUGUAUAAUUCAGUUAAUAAUUUUGAAACUAAAACUGGAUUCAGGAUUGCGGACCAAAUUCUAGCAAAUUGUCAAUUCGGUAUACAAAUUAAAUUUAGAAACUAGUUUGUACAAUUUGUUAUGCAACCUCAGAUUCGAUUUUAACUUCUAAUUGUUACAAUUUGGUGUGUACAUUUCAAAUGAGAUGUUACAGAUUGAUAGCUCAAUCUAUACACACAAAUGGAUACUUUUGGAAUUUUAAAGUUAUAUGGAGGUACCAAAAGAACCAAUGGAGAGGUGUUGAAAAAAUGUCUAAAAUCAACCGUUAUAAGUGAAAGCUCAAGUAAAAAAGUGUCCUCCGUCACCAACUAUAAUAAUUUCGACCAAAAAUAAGAUUAAUUUAAUAAGAAAAAGAAAAAGAAAAAAUUUCAAUCUCCGGUCAAAACUAUAAUUUCAUUUCCAUGAGAUGAGAAUGCUAAACUUUACUGAAAUAGAUACUUGGAAAAACAAUAUAAAGAAACACAAAACUGAAGAUAGUUUUAUCAAAUACAUAAAUAUGAAUUGGAGAAACAUUACAUUUUCUAUAGUCAAGCAUUUCCAGUGAACAAAAUUUGGAACCUAAACGAACUGCAACAUUCCUAAACCGGUUCUAACUGCCAAGAAGAAAAACUCUGCACAAUGAUCCUCCCUGGUUUUGGCAUCAUGCACCCUACUGCAGAUUGAAAAGCUGAGCAGGCCAACUCCGUUUCUCACCGCCAGGACCAACACCAGCAGCUUCUAAGGAAAUGUCAAUGCUGCGAUGCUCUGUAGAACGGACAAUGCUGACGCGUAAAUCGAUAUUUACAGCUGGAUACACCUCAGUUCCAAUUGCUUCCAGUUUACCCUUCUUUUCUUUUCCAAACCCUAUUGCAAUAGGUUCUCUAAAGGUUAAGAUUGUUUGUGACCAAUGUGUUCUUGGCGUAUAAGGGGAUGUGGAUAACACAGCUGGUGCUUCUUGGCAGAAUCUCCUCGUAAAACCAGUUUCAAACCAUAGGACAACACCAUAGCACCAGCACCAUGUUGCUGAAGCACUUGGUUUUAAUUCCAAAGUAGUAGUCGUAGUGAAAUCCACUUCAUCGGGCUUCAUGGUUGCCAAGUCAAAAGACUGGAGAAUAAAAGGAAAAAAAAAAAAAAAAACAUUUCAACAAUCAGUAUGCAACCAUAAACUGGGUUCUGAAUUUAUUAUGAAAACUAUCCUGGAGAGUUAUCCCCACCCCUGGAAAAAAAGAACAGAUAUUGUUUGGCAUAGUACAUGUACUAGUUAAGAUCACACAAGUGAAGAAGGAACCAAAAUGAGUACGGUAUCUAGAAAUGCAUGAUACUUUUUAAUUUGCAUAAAUUCACCUAUAUAUUUUUAAAAAUAACACUUUCUGUUUAGAAGACAUAGGAGGGGCCAUUUCUUGUUGGUCAAAAUAAUUUAAACCAAAAGAAUAUUUUCACAAGAUUAUGACACAGCUACACGCAGUUCACACAAGGACCACUUAGCUACUUUAGAAUUGCAAGAUAAUAGGUUAAAAACUAUAGCCUAAGAUAAGAUCUGGCAAUAUCCUUACAGUCUUUGGAAAACUAUUGAAGACUGGAUUAGCAAAUUGGAAAAAAAAUUACUACUAAACUAAUGUCUUUCAAAACAUUCACAUAUGCCAAAAGGACCAACCUGCAGAAUCGCAGAACUGGUAACUAAAUCUUGUGAGUCCAGAACAUCAACUAUAGGAAUUUGGGCAGCAUCUAUGACAAGCUCCUUCCCAAUGCAAGACAUAUCAAAACCACAGACAUUAUCCCAAAACGGAAGACUUGUGGCUCCUUUUCCAAAUCCUGCAACAAACUAGAAAAGAAACUAGAAUGAUAAUUUAUUCUGCAGAAACUGGCAUGACACCCCUGAGGACAAUAUUUUGAAUAUGAAAUGGUUGAGCAAUGGACAAAGGAGAGACUCACAAUAGUUGCUGUGUCAGGAAGAAUGGCACCACCAGGCUUCAACCACCGGUCCCGUGCAUAAAGCACUGAACCAAGCAUGGAUUCAUACAGCAAGCAAUAUCCCAUCCAUUCACUUAGCAACACGUCAACACUGUGAGGUUGAAGUUCAACUGUUUUAUCAAUCUCUUCAACCAUACCAUGAACCACUUCCAUAACUCCCUUUUGGAGACCAUCGAUUCCACUUUGGCUUUUAUUCCACCAAAGACCAUUAUCUUUUGCAACCUAAAUAAAAAAAUGGAGAGAAAGAAUGAAUAUGGAAGUAGAGAUGUAAGUUUAAAAGGUAAUUAUAAUUAUAGAAGCUACAAAGUUAAAGAAAGACCUAUACCUGAGAUGCCACUGCUGCCAUCUUGGCACUAGCCUCAACAGCAAUAACCCUUGAAGCUCCAGCUUUUGCCGAAAACAGGCUAAAGAAAGAAUAAUAACAAAAUAUGUCAAACUUAUAAAUGGCAGGGCAAUCAAAUAAAAUAACUUAUAAGCACAGGCCAACAAAACCCAGAAUAUGCACUUAUAACAGCCAUAGGCCUAAAAACCACUACUGCCAAAAAUGAACAAACAGAAAGAGCCAAUAGGAAUCUAUCAAUUUGAGGCAUACGGAACAUUAUUAUUAAGGGCUUCUAUGCUACAAUGCAUUAAGUCAAGAUGAAAUCUUCAAUACUCGGAAGAAAAAAGGGAGCCAUGAAGAGAACAAAUAUAUUGCUUUAAUAUAUGAGUUCAGCAUUUGAUUAGUUCUCUGACAAACUAUUUAUUCAUAAGCAGGGUGCUCAUUAUUAGUCAUUAUCCUAUACACAAAGCCACCAGGUGUGCAUCCUUGAUUUUCUCCAUAUGAAAAACGGUGAAUCGGACCAUGAGGCUCCUACCAGGUGGGGGAUCAAAGGUGAGGAUAGAAGUGCACAGCCACACCCUCGCAAGUGGAGGUUAUUUGCAGGAUUUAAACCCUUGACUUCCAAAUCAACGCAGCAACUUGACACAAUGGCAAGGUUUGGGGAAGGUAUGUUUUUCAAGCCUUUGGGUUCACCCCUUUCAGGAAACUUUAGCACGGAGACAAUUCUUUGCUGCUCCUUAGGAGAGAGGGUAGUGACAAACUGUCCCAAAAAUUAGCUCAAGGGAAGGGUUGCCCUAGUCUUAUUCUAGCCAUAUUCCUAGCAUAACACUCUUCACAUGAAGCAAUUUACCAAAGAACAUAGAGCCCCCUAAAGGGAAGCAAGCAGAUGAAAAGUUAAACAAGUAUAUCUGGGCUAACCUCAAACAAUGCAGAAAAACCAUACUAACAUGUCGAGAGUGAAAAUUUUGACAAUCAAAAGACAAAGCACAAAAGUGUUCACGAGCAGAAAUAAAUUCCCCUUGAACAGUUAUCAGUUUUCUAUUUAUGAAGUUUAGUAUAAUAAAUGAUAAAUGAGCAUUUGUAUAAAAAUAUACAAAAUUAGAUUCAGUAUAGACUUUGUAAAAUCUGUGAUGUCACAGUUUAUGGUUAGUAGGACAGUAACAUGGUGUUUCUAACUUAUAUGCACAAUUUUUGGUAAAGAAUUUGCUUUACCAAAGGUUUUUACUUUGACAUCAUCCUCCCACCAUUAAUUAUAAUACAAUAUGCCAUUGUAUGAAUAUAAAACUCCAAAACAGAUAUUAUAGAUUGCAUAUUAUAUAUUGAGAAAAGUCAAGGAUAUUUCUCACCUGAGGAUUCCAGUUCCACAACCUACAUCCAUAACAACAGCACCCUUUAGUAGGGAGGGAUUCUUCAAUAUUGCUUGACCAUAAGCAUCCAUUCUCACCUAUGUAAAUUUAUUGAUAUUAUUUCAAUAAAAUAGUUAUAGCACAGUGAAAAAUCUUCAAUUUCUCAACUUAUUGUAGAUUUGAAGCCAACAAAUGCAAAGCAGAUCUUAUACCUUAUCACUUAACAUUUCUCGAUGGAUACCAAAUGAACUGUAUGACCCAAAAUAACCUUCAUUAACCUUCUUAAUAUGUUUUGCAAUGUGAUUCGGAGAAUUAGCCACUAAAGGACCCUUUUUUGGAUCCUUAUCACUGCACAAGGCAUGUCCCAUUGAGUCUUUACCAUUAAUAAGAUCCCCUUUUGAAUUUUCCACAGAAUCAUGAUCAACAGAGCUUCUCUCGUCAAUGUUCAUCAAAUCUUUUAUGAGAUCUUCAUCAAUUGAUGUAAUUUGCUCAUCUUCACCUUCUUCGUCACAUUCACCAAAACUGUACAGCAGAGAAUCAUCUUGCAUGAAAGGUAUUAGAUAUCUAUCAUCAUUCCAUAGAGUCUUCAUCUCAUUAAAGUCAACUAUAUCAUGCAGAUGAUUCUGCAAGUCACGCUUGCACUGACAUGUUAAUCCACAACUCCAACAUUUGUUCUCUGCCACCUAGAAAUAAAAAUUCGAAGAAAACACCAGUUAGCACAACAACUUAGAAAAGAGACAUAAUCCACACAACUGUGGUAAUUUUGUAUAUAGUCCAUAUAUAAAAUGAUCAAUUAACAUCGAAGGGUUAUUUAAAAUAGAAUUAACAAAAUUAGAACAUCUCGGUGUAGCUAGUGCCACCUCCAUAAACAACAGCAAAGAAAGAGCUUGAAAAAAUAAAAAACAUUUAACAUAAUACGAUUCUUGGAAAAAAUCACAACACCAUACUAAAACAUUAAAUCAACAUUAUUUUAAGGUAUAAUAAUACUUUAAUCAAUAUAAAAGGAAAUUGAAAAAACUAAGACACUUAGCUACAGCUGAAGGCAGGGCAAAGACAAAAAGAAAGACUAAAAGAGUAUAUUUAAGUUAUCUCUACAAUUUUUUCCAUUUACCAGAGCAACAGGUCAAAGGAGGGAAAUCUACAUAAACAAACAGUAAUACAGGAAGAAGAGAGAAUCACACACAAAGUUAUCAUGGUUCGAUUGAAGUAUUAAUAAACUUCAACCUAAGUCCACGGAGAAAUUAACUAUAACAUAGUGAUUAAACUCAAGAGUUUCUCUCUCAACAAACUCUCACUCAGAUAUAACUCAAACGUUUAACUAAGUUAUCCUAAAAUGCAAGGUACAAAGUCCUAUUUAUAGAGCAAGAACCGUUGUUAUUGACACACAUGAAAGGCGCUUAAAACUAUUGAGGAAGACACAUAGACACAUAGCAGCUACUAGAUAGUUUAAUCAGAUAGGACACUAUGAGACUAGACAAUCUAUUGGACAGUCUAGGAACCUUAAAGACAAGAUUUUAGUGGACUAUUCUUCACAUAAUAGAUCAAGUAAUAACCACAAAAAUCAUUAUAAACUGCCAUUUUAAAAUCUUAAAUCCAAAAUUCCUCUGAAAUCCAUUUCCUUAGUCCUAAAACUCCCAACCUCAAGAAAAAUAAAACUUGGGAUUCUCUUUGGUCAGAAAAACGAUGUAAUGUCAUGAGAUAAUAACGACAAGUAGUAGUAUGAUUGCUUUGCGUCUUUCUCUUUAAGAGAAGAUCCUGAGAAGAGUGCUAGUACCACACUCUGGAUUAUAGUUUAAUAUUUAUAAAAAAAAAAAAAACUCAAUGAGGACAAAGCUAAUGCAAGAAAAAAAAUUCUACAAAUAAAUUAUUAAAUAAAACAAACUUCUCCGAACUCUAAAAUUAGCUUAUACAUUAACUUUUACAAAAUUUAAAAAACCGACUUUGAAAAAGCUAAUUCAAAAAAACAAUCUACAAAUAAUUUAACUUUAACUUUCGAAUAAGGUUAUGUCAUAACCCCUUCUAAUUCUUAUUCUCUUACUUUUCAAAGUGUUCACCCAAACAGUCACAAACGAAACCACCAAAUUUUUUGAUCGCUAACUAAUUUUAAAUUAAAAUAGAGUGUGCUUAAAAAUAACGUGUUCCUAGCCUUUCUGAGGAACCUAAUUCAAAUACGUUAACUGAGAAAAGCAUAAAAGGAAAGAAAAGAAAACGAUAAGGUCACCUGAGAGCGAACGAAGUUGAUGAGCUUGAAGGAGGCAUAGAAAUCUAGUUUGAGCGCUGCUCUAAUCGCGUGGAAAUCGAAAUGGUGAAGGGAUGCGCAAUGAUCGAACAAGGAACCGCACAAACUGUACUGAGAGUCACAGAAGAGACACACAAAUUCCGAUUCUCGCUCUCCUUCCCAAUCGUCCCAUGCUUCUUCUUCUGCUUCUUCGCUAUCUUCUUCUUCUUCUUCUUCCAUUCUGUACGGUUCCUUUUCUUCUUCUCCCUUUUGCUUAUCGAUGAAUGCCAUGAGUGAAAAAAACGCUUAAACCCUUUCAAAAACCCUAAACUCAACCAACUUUGCCUUUAUAUAUAUUCUGCUCACCUUCAACAACAAAUAUUUUUAAAAUAAAUAUUUAUUUUUAAAAAUAGAUAGAAUUUAUUUAUUUAAAUAAGUUAAAGACAAAAAAAAUUGUGUUUAGUUAUAGAAUAAGCAAAUUAAAUAAACACAUAAAUACAUAAAUUUUCUUAUUUUAUUUAAAAAAAAAACACUUUAAAAAAAGUAAGUAGAAAGAGACUCAUUCGUGGUGUUUCUUAUCGUGAAACAAUAAAAAAAAUGUGUUAUAGUAUUUAGAUUUCUUAUUUCUAAAACAUUAGUCUUUUAAAAUUACGUGAAUUUCAAGUAAUAUGGAUUUCAUUUGUUUUCAUUAUUUUUAUGUCUCUUUUUAAAUAUAAACGAUUAUCUACUACUUUUUCUCUUAACUAUGUAAUAGGAAUAUUAUUGAAAAUUAGUUUUACAUUUUUUUUAAAGAUUUUCAUUUGAAAAAUAAAUAAAAAGCAAAAAAAAACUAUUAUUUUGAGAAAUUGUUUUUUCAUUCAAUGAUGAUGGUAACUAUACUAAAAUUUAUGAAAACUAAUCACACUAAGUCAAUCUUGGAGAAGUUUUAAGUAGGAUGGCUUUUUAUUUUAUUUUAAGAUUUUUAUAUAAAUUAAUAUAUAAUGAUUUUUUUAUUUUAACAAAAUGUUCACGAAAUUUCCUAUUUUAUAUUUACAUGUAAAUAUAUAUGAAAACUAGAAUUAUAUAUCUUAAAAGUAACUAAUUAGAUAUAAAUUUUAAAAUUAUUUAUUAAUAAUAGAAAUUAUUUUAAAUAAUAAUAAUUUUAUUGUAGUGAAUGUUACAUUUAAUUUUUAAGUAUAGACAUCUUUUGAAAAUUAUUUUUAAGUUUUUUAAAGUAAAUGUGGUUGAAAUUUUACUUUAUCAUUAUUUAUGUAAGUGUUUUAAGUGAUAAAAUAUUAUUUGAAAAUAAAUUUAGUAAAGAAAGUUUGAGUUAUCAUAUUAGUGAGGAAAAAAUUUCAAAUGAAAAAAAUUGAUAAACGUGAAUAAGUAAAAAGUAUUAUUAAUAAUCAUGUUAAGGCCAAAUAAGCUUUUGUAUUUAGUUAAAUUAAGCGAUUGAUUUAAAUAAACUUAUAUAUAAGUUUUUUAUUCCAUGAACCACCACUCUAUUCUAUUUUCUUUUUAAUUCUUUUUUACCACUCUAUUCGAUUUUUUUCUUAAACAUGCUUUAUAACUCUAGUAAUGAACUUAAUCAUUUUGAUUUUAUUUCCAUUUGCACAUUUAAAAUUCAUGAAUGAGUCCUUAUCAUUUUCAUUUAAUGUUACCCUUUUCAUUCAUGUUUUUAAUUAUGAGUAAACAAGUAUCAUUCUUAUUCAAAUUUUUUGUCACUAUAAAUAAUUUAAAAGCAUGCCCAUAUUUAUUCUUUCUAAAUUUCUUUAUAUUAUAAACUUAUUUCAAAGAAUUUGCAUUUCUUUAUAUUAUAAACUCAUUACAAAAGUAUGUCGAGGAAGUGCAUUCUAUACACACUCAUUAUUAUUUUUUUUUUAAUUUGAUCGUUAUGAUUUUAUUAAUUUGAUCGUUGGAGUCUUGUCAACUAGUGGAGCUUCUCUCACUAUGAAUUUCAAGCAUCUCAAAGCGGAAACAAAAAAAAAAGUUGACCCAGAUUUCACCACCAAAACCCGAUUCAAUGAUCCAAGGUGAUUAAUAAAUAAUUCAGUUUCUCUUUCAAUCAAACAUAGACAUACAACCAAUCGCAAUAAUUAGAUCUUAUUUCAACACCAAUAUACAACAACCAUAUAAAUCACACUUAAAUCUAUACAUCAAGAAUAUUCAACAAUCAUAUAGAUCACACAUAGAUGUAUAAAUCAAGGAUAUUCAACAAGCGAAAUAUUGACUAAUAUCUUCCAAAGACCCAUAUUAAAUAUGUACAUAUUAACAUAUGAUUCAAUCUAGUACUUAGAUUUACAAGUGAAUAGAAGAAUCAUGGUAAGUUUAAUACAACUCAAGUUGUGCAUCUACAUAGGUGUGCAAGAAUUCUCCCAUCAAUUUCUCAUCACGUGAUAUCUUAGUCUACGAGACUUAUAUCAUAAGUUAGAGGAUCUCUAUUACAACAUAGGUGUCAAUACUUAAUACACAAUCAAACAAUUGCUCACACAUUAUCCCAAAUAUAUAACCUAAAUUUCAUACGAAUUAUGUCAUUCUUAUACAAUACAUAUCAUAAAUUUCACAAAUCAAUUGAGUAUACAAAAUAAUAUUCACUUUACAUAAAAGUUUUCAUACAUAACCCAAUUCAUUAAAGAGAUAAGAAGAAAAGAAAAGAAAGAAAGAAGUUUUUUUUAUCUUGAGUGAUAAUAUUUUACCUUGAGUAAUAAUGAGCUCGUUUAAGCAAAAAGAUUUUAGCUUGAGCAAGAAUUUGAUGAGAGGGUUGAUUUUCAGUGUUGUUUUCACUUAGCAAGAAUUUUUUUCACUUGAGCAAAAAGGGUUGAAAACAAGUUUAUGUGCAUGGCUAUUUUUGCUUAAGCAAAAAUAUCAGAAAAUCAACCUCAACAACAGAAUCAAAUGCGUUUUUCAAACAUCUUUUCAAAAACAUUCCAAUAAUACAACUUCUAAACAAUCCAAAAAUGAUCAAUCCAAAUUACAAUUUGUUCAAACAUCAUCCUCCAAUCAUUUCAAUACAUUCUAAAUCAUUCAAACUCAUUUAUUCAUCAAAUCAUAAUCAAAACUCAGUUUAACUAACUUUAUACUUUAACAUGCAUAAUCCAAUUACUAGAUUAAUCUCUUAUCUAAAUCAACUAUCCUAAGAUUUUAUCAAAAAUAUAAAUAGUUUCUCUUACUUGUAAUUUCUUAUUCUAAGGAAAUUCCAGCUCAAGUAGUUACUCCAAAAUUUGGAGACCUAAAGUAAGGUAUCCAAACAUGACCAAAUUUUAGCAUGGGUUUAACCAAGUUAGAGGAACAUUUUUCUCAACUAAUCCCACCAGAAUUGAUGACAAAAUCACACUACAAGAAAAUCAUUAAAUAAAAACCAAUUGUAGGGACAAAAAUUAAUUAGUUAAUUAAAACAUUGGUAGCUAAUUAUAUACUAAUUUAGAAAUUAUUUAUCAAUAAUAGAAACUAAGUUAGAUAUCAAUCAUUUUUUAAUCUCUAAAAUAGUAUUUAAUUUAGUCCAUAUAACAACUAAUUAUUUUUUGUCUCUAAAAUUGAUUUAUAUUUAAUGAUUUUCUAGUAAUGUGUUAAGAUAGGCCCAAUAGCAUACAAGCUCAAUAUAUGUUAACCUAAAUCUCACAUAUAUAAGUGAGAUAUUAUGGAAAUAAGGAAAAAGAGGGAAUGAAUUUAGUAAACCCAAGUUUUAGUAGCUUAGAGUAUACCUUAGGUCAUAGUUUUAGUAUAGUAUAGGUAGUUGUUUUCUAUCAUUGGUGUUUUCAUUCACGUUCUUCAUGCCUCCCAAACUUGAAUCUAAAGACCUUGAGGAAAUUCUCCAAGCCAUCCAAGAACGACUCUCAGCUAUACAAGCUCAAAUGGAGGCCACCAAAACCAGACAAACAAAUAUCGAAGCCAGGAAUGAAUUUCUGCAUUCACUCACAUGUCAUAAACCACGUAAAAUCAGUCCCACACUCAGCCCCCACCAUUACCCACCAUGAGACCACAAAAACUACAACUCAUUGUUUUUGAAGGCUCAGACCGCCCAGCGCCACAAGCCUCCGCGCACACCAGAACACACGCCGCAACACCACCUGCGCCCCAAUCGUCGCGUCGCAAGCCUCCGCGCACACCAAGUCACACGCCGCAACACCGUCCGCAAUCAACCGUCGCUCCGCCCAGUGCCGUCAGCCUCCGCACGCACUAGGUCGCACGCCGCAACAGCGUCCACGCCCCAACCGUCGUACCGCUCAGUGUCGCCAGCCUCCGCGCGCACCAGGACACACGCCACAACAACAUCCGCACCCCAACCGUCGCGCCGCCCAGUGCCACCAGCCUCCGCUCACACCAGGACACACGCCGCAACACCGCUACCAGCUUCUAGAUCCAUUCAAUUGCCAACACCAUCCACUCCAAUUUUUGCAUCCCCCCCCCCCCCCCCUCAUUCCCUUUCGAAUGUUGUUUCUCCGAUUUAAAAAAAAACAAGAAAAAGAAAGAAAUGCAACAUCAACAAUUGUGUGGAAUGCACAAGAGCAAGCGACGCACCAAACCCUAAUGCACAAGAGAAAGUGGCGCCCCAAACCAACCUAGCAAACCCAAAACACCCCCGCGACCCAAUUUUCUGCUUCACCCCUACAUCACUACCAAAACACUCUAUCCCACAACCUAACAAAUGCUCAAACGGUCCAACCCCAGCCCAAGAAGCACCAGUGGCCCAACUGCAUUUAAGACUACAUUUUGGGGACAAAGUGCAUUUAAGACUACAUUUUGGGACAAAGUGUUUUCUGAAGCAGAUAAUAAUGUUAAGAUAGGCCCAAUAGCAUACAUGCCCAAUCUAUGUUAACCUAAAUCUCACAUAUAUAAGUGAGAUAUUAUGGAAAAUAAGGAAGAAGAGAAGAAUUUUAGUAAACCCUAGUUUAGUAGACUUAAUAUUUUGUAGGCUUAAUCAUAGUUAGUCAUAGUAUAAGUAACAGUUGUUUUUUGUGUUCUAUCAUAAUGUAAUAAGAAAAUAAAGAGAAUAAAGAAUCUUUGGAUUAAAAAGAAACUUACUCUGUUUGAAAAUUUGAUUGGAAGAAAAUGAUUUCUGAUUCUUCAACCUUAGAGGAUGUAUCAAAAUUUGGGAG
rnacentral:lncRNA from 1 species